AAAAAAAUAACUGUAAUAAAAAACCAUGACGACUAUCUUGUUUUGGUCAACCUUUUCUACCUUUGCUGAUCAUUUUCACUCUCCUUUCUUGAUUGCUUCUUCUUGUUGGUUUCUCUUCUAUUUUACCACUAUUUAAUUACAAAAUAUUUAUUAUAAUAUUAAAAAAAAAAAACCAAAUACAGCACCCUUUUUCUCCCUUCCCCUACUUCUCCUUCCUCUCGGUUUCCUACUCAUAUUAGUUUCCCAUUUCGAAUAAGGGAAAUAAGCCCUAAUAAUCGAAGUUGAAUCGGCCUCAUGGAUGGUUCAAUUCUCCUGGACCUACUUGUUGAAUUGCCAAACAAGAAGUAGGGAAGAGGGUUUUUGGAAUCUCUGUAAAUUGGAGACCUUUUGAUAGCUCAAGGAGGAUAUAGGUAUGGCUGUUGUAAUGGGAUUUUGCAUUCAAUGUUUUUGAAAUGUAAGGAGUUUCUUUCUCUUGCUGUGAUCUUUGCUGUUCCUAAUUUGUCACAGAGCAGUAAGAAGAAAAGGGUAUUUGAGUUUGAGUUUAAGUUUGAUUUGUGGUGUUAAUGGGGGAAUUCGGUUAAUUUGAUUAUAUCAUUGAUUAAAAGUGUUAGUGAUUCUGUUGGGCAUCGUUAAUAUUUAAUAUUUCAAAGAUGUUUUGCCAAUCCCUGAUGCAUUUAUGAAGCUUUGUUGCCCAUCAGUACUACUGUACUUCUUGAUGUCCUCUCUGUUUCGACUUGUCUGUUCUUUUUUUUUUUUUGUUUUAAUGUUUGCUGCAAGUGUUAUCCUCUAGAUUAGAUAAUUUGAGCAAAUUCGGGGACUUAGAAUUGGUGAUUUAUCGCACAAUUAUCCACAAUUUUCGCUGAAAUGGAAGGGAAAGGCGUGCUAUUACUUUGCGCAACUCGUCAGUGCCUGCCUGCUUGUGCGAUUCUUCAUCUCCACAUUUUCUUUCAUUGCUAUAGUUGAACUUGUUAUCUGCUAGACUGGAUAAUUGAGCUUGCGAAAUGGCAAUUUUGAGGUUUAGAUUGCCAAUUCGGUAUUGUCACUGGAUUAGAAGGGAAACGUUACUUUUGUAUGCUUGCUUGCUCUCUUUUAGUGUGAUUAAUCUCUUUUUGUAUGUUUGCUUACUGGAUUUUUUUGGUUUAUUGUUCAGUGCGUGGAAUAUUUUGUUUGAAUUUGAUUAAUUCCAUUAACUCCUGAAUGAAUUAAUAUAUGUUAUGGUUCCCGUCAUAAUUGAUUUACAUUUGUGAUUCUCAAGGCUGGCAACCAGGAAUUCAAGAGGGUGCUGCUUCUUGGGAUGAAGAUUGGGAUAAGUUUGAAGAUGAUGGUAUGCUCUCUACCUUCCCUACAUUGAACUAUUUAUCACACCUCAUGCUUCCUUUUGCCUUUCCAAUCUCCAAUAAAUGCCAUGAAUUGAGUGGAUUUUUCUCAAGAAUAUUGCACAAAUAUUAGUUCGAAUUUAUCUAUGCAACAUAUCAUUUCCACUUUCAGGGUUUUCCAAUGAGCUCACUGUUGAUGUGAAAAGCGCUCCUGGUCAAAAGGAGAGAGCACCUGCGGAUGUUAGUUUAACCCCUGAUUCAUUGUCAAAUGGAGAUGGGAGGUCUGGAAUUUUUACUGGAGACCAUGUGCUUGAGAGUGAAUCUGCAUAUAUCCACAGUGAAGAUGAAAUUGCAAGAAGCCCUCAAGACAGUCCAGCUGGAAGGGCUGCUUCAGAAAGUCCAUCUCAAGACUUUGCUGAUGUUUUUGCCAAGAAUACUGAAGCAGAUAUAGAUACCCACAGGUACAGCAAUCAAUUUGUUUCCAUGUCUUUUGCCUACUUUAGUGCUGAUUGUUGGCCUACUUCAUGAUGAUAAUGAACUUUAUAUUUUUGGCAAUAGAAGUUUUGAUGAUUCAACUUGGGGUGCCUUUGACACAAAUGAUGAUGUGGACUCAGUCUGGGGAUUUAACCCUGCAGGCAACAAGGUGAGUCCAGUAUUCCUGAAGCACUCUUUUAUUCUACUGCAAUUGAGCAUGGAUACAUGUUGGAUAUUCAAAUUGUAGCUUGCUGAAGCACAUUCUAUGCAGUUAUCACUUUAUAGAUCACUUCAUUAAGGAAUUGCACCUGAUAUAUUGAUUUAACGCUCACAUCAUGAUUGCUGGAAUGCUUUUACAAAUGCAGGCAUAUUCUUGUUAUUACCAUCAUAUUUGCACAUACCUUGGGCCAUGCAUCUAUCCUUAGGUUUCCAUGUUUUGUGCAUAGGCACUCUGGUCGAAGUGAACCUAUUGGCAAGUCUUGUGAAAUAUACCUGUGUGCAGUUCUCAGGUUUUAUCAUCCAAUGAGAUAUCCAGAUGCAUAUCCAUUGUCGAUACAGUGAGUUGAACUUUGUGAGAGAUGCCAUGUGCUAUUAGAGAGCUCAAACAAUGCUAAAGAUACAAAUUAUUUUGAUUAAAAUUAUUUUAUGGAUUGGUGCUGCUGCUAUGAUGGGUGUUGCAGUGAUCGAUUAAAUAAUAAGAGUCUGAGAUAUCUCUUCACAUUGCCCUCAAUUAUUUGGUUGUGUCAUCUAGCAGGACUCUUCUGAGAACGAGAGAGAUUUCUUUGGAUCUGAUGAUUUUGGUCUAAAGCCAAUCAGAACGGAAUCCACAUCAACAACGAAUACUUUCCAGAAAAAGAGUAUAUUUUUUGAAGAAUCUGUUGCAGGUUCCCCAAUGUCAAGAUUUGGCAACUCUCCAAGGUUCAGCGAAGCAGGGGACCAUUUUGACAAUUACUCGAGAUUUGAUUCCUUCAGCAUGAAUGAAGGAGGCUUUUCACCACGAGAAAAGCUUACAAGGUUCGACUCCAUAAACAGCUCCAAAGAUUUUGGCCACAGCCGUGCUUUCACUUCAUUUGAUGAUGGAGAUCCAUUUGGCUCCAGUGCCCCCUUUAAGGUUUCAUCUGAAGAUCAAACUCCCAAAAAGAGUUCUGGCAAUUGGAGUUCUUUCUAGCAGCAAUCUGGUUUUCCCCUCCCUCCCUCUCUCUCCAUUUUUUUUCACGGUUGCCAAUUUUUGUAUGUGCUGUAUAGAUUGUGUUGAAAUGCUGCAUUGUUGUAAAGUUAUUCAUCAUGGCCUUGCUUCAUUUUUAUUUUGCUGAGGUAAAAAACUUAUGUUUGGGGGGCAUCCAGAUCAAAGAUGGAAUGCUUGUUCUUUUGAGUGGCAAAUUCUUGAGACCAAUAAAACUGAGUAGUUUGAGAAAACAAUGACUCUUGGCAUUCCAUCAACUCACAUUGCUCAAAUGCAUUUUAUUUGAAGCUGCCUGCUUCACUAUGACUGUUGGCAUUCCCUUUCAUCAUUUUUUAAUUUUUGGUGCUACGAGUUGUUUAACAAUGUAAGUCAGUCAGUAAACACCGGUUUGGAGGCGCGUGACCUUCCUUAAGGGUUUUGACCACGCGCUUCCUUGGAUAUUUCUAUUAUACAGAUGAGCUCGGCUGCUAGGCUAUGUCUGAAUAAGAUUAUGGGCUUGUUAGCUGGGCCUUUUCCAUAUUGGCAAGUUGUGGACUCGUAUUGGGUUUUGCGUGUCGGAUUUGAUGAAUCAUUUUUUUCUUUUCUUUUCUUGAGAAGUAUUUGGUGAAUCUAUUUUAUCUAUAAAAUAGUAAGUAAAUCGCUAUUCCUGGAAUAAUAAAGGAAUGCUGAAGUUGAUUCGGCUUUUUCCGGGGAAAAGAAAAAAGAUCAAUCCUUCUGUAUUUUGGAAUGCUAGAUAUAGGUAUGGUGCUCGUAUUGUUUUCUUCACUUGAGUUUACUGCCCCACAUAAUUCCUGCUUCAUUUUAUUUUCCCCGAAGAAGUUUAUAUAUAUAUGGGCAUGGUGCUCAUCAAAUGCAAUAGAUUUUGGAAAUUUAAACAAAAGUAUUUUCUGACAUUACGAGAGGGCUACGGUGCUUGUGCUGGAGUUUACUGCCCCACCUAUCAAAUUGCAGUGCUCAUAUGCAAAGAAAAGUCACUAAAAAAGAGCAUCAUCAAUAUUCUAAGCCCUUCAAUAAUUAUCGAGUUAAUGGACCCCAUACCGACACUGACAUUAAUUGUGUUUUCUUGUAGAAUCAAACUAUUGCUGCUCCCAACAAAAUAAAUUUUAUUUUUUAAUAUUAAAUUGAUUAUCAAUUAGAUUUUAUUAUUUAUUUUAAUUUAUUUUCUAUAAAAUUAUUUUGAUUUUAUAAUUUGAAUUAUGUAUUUUGCAGGUUAACACUUGUAGAUUGAGAUUAUUUUAUUGUGUCAUGUUUUUAUAUUGAAUUUUUCUUUUUCAAUUUCAACAUUUAAUAAUAAUUUUUUUUGAAAAUUGAGUCUCAUAAUUUGUUUUGAUUUACUUUCUAUGGAUUUAUCAAGUUAACUCGAGUUGACUCAAUUUACUUUUUUGUUUACUUUCUAUAAGGUUAUCCUAAUUUUUUGACCCGGAUCACGGGUUUGACAGUUUAACUUAGGUCACUUUUUUUUUAAAUUUUAUCCUUUAAUAUUUGAUUGAUUUGGAAUCAGGCUUCAUAUUUUUUUUGGUCUUGCUUUCUCUAAAGUUAUCCUGAUUUCAUUAUUAGGGUUACAGUUUGGCAAGUUAACCUGAGUUGACUCUGGUUUUUUUUGUUUUUAUUUUUUUUAAUUUCAUCAUUAAAAAUUAAGACAUCUUAUCUUGAGUCACAUGUCAACUUAGGUUUGUUUUUAAUUUUAUAUUUUAAUAUUUAAUUAAUUUGAGAUUAAGCUUUUUAUUUAUUUUUGUUUUCUAUGAGGUUAUUUUAAUCUUAUUACAUAGUUCAAGAGUUUGACUGGUUAACCUGAGUUGACUUAAUUUUUUUAAUUGAUUUUUUUUUUCAAUUUCAUACUUCAACAUUGGAUUAAUUGAGAAUUAAACUUCAUAAUUUGUUUUGAUUUGAUUUAUAAGGAGUUAUCUUAGUCAUAUGACUUAGGUUGUAGCUUUAACAGGUAAACCCGGGUUAACUCGAGUUGUUGUUUUUUUUUUUUUUUAAUUUCAUAUUUUAUGAUUGGUUUAAUUGAGAAAUGAGUUUCAUAUUUGGUUUUGAUUUGCUUUCUAUGUGGUUAUUUUGGUCUUAUGUUUUGAGUCGUGAAUUUGACAGGUUUACUCGGGUAGAUCUAAUAUGUUUUCGUCUCAAUAUUUUUUUUUUUUAAAAACAUGCAAUCUUGAAUUUCUUUAAUCAAACUAUAUUUUUAACGAUUUUCCAAUUGACCUGGUCAUAUAUCAAGUUAACCCCUACACGUUUUAAUUUUUUUCAACUAGAAAACACGUUAAUAACACUUAGAUAUUUUUUUGACGUUAAAAAAAUUAAUCCGACCUGCAACAUAGUGCGGACAAUAAUCUAGUCUACUCUAUUUUUGAAAGUAAAGGCCUAAAGGGAUAUUCGAGAUUAUGGUAGUGAUUGCUUUUCAAAGUGCAUUCACUCAGAAAUGUAUUAAAAUAAUAUAUAUAUAUAUAUUUUAAAAAUAUUAUUUUUGAUAUUAACACAUCAAACUAAUCUGAAAAUGCUAAAAAAAUUAUUAAUUUGAAGUAAAGAAAAAAAUAAUUUUUUUUUAAUUUUUUCAAAACAUUUUUGAAACCAAAAAAACAAACAAACAUUAAAAGAUGUUAAAAUUCGGAUAGACUUAGAAUGAAAUCCCCAAACUAAUGGCAAGAGGAUCAGAAUACAUGUAUUUGGAUUAUUUUCUACUCGAUCUCUUCCCAUGAAAGUCAGGGAGAAUAGAUUAACUGACUGGCCUUCCUAAUUUCCAAAUGAUACUAUUGGUGAACCUUUUUCUCCUUUGUGGAAAAAGAAAAGGACUUGCUAGACAAUCUGAAUCUAUUGUCUUAUGCAUUGGAAUUGAUUGUUGGCGUUCCCGCUCUUCAUUUUUUUUUUAAUUUUUUGUGCUACGAGUUGCUUAUUAAGUUUAGGAAUGUGGUUGUGGUUGGUUUUUAAAGUAUUGUUUAUUUGAAAAUAUAUUAAAUUAUUUUUUUUAUUUUUUAAAAAUUAUUUUUGACAUUAAUACAUCAAAAUAAUUUAAAAUUACCAAAAAAAUAUUAAUUUGAAAAAAAAAACUUUCAAUUUUUUUUCAAAAAUAUUAUUGAAAUGCAAAAAACAAACUUGUCAUAAGCCACACAAUAAACACUGGUCUUGGAGGCGCGUGACCUUCUUUAAGGGUUUUGAGUCUUUUGACCACACGAUUCCUUGGAUAUUUCUAUCAUCCAAAUGAGCUCGUUAGCUAGGCCUUUUCCAAAUCGGCAAGUUGGGGACUCUUAUUGGGUUUUGCAUGUUGGAUUUGGCUCCAAUUUGAUGUUUUUUUUUUCUCGAGAAGUAUUUGGUGAAUCUAUUUUAUUUACAAAUUAGUUAGGUAGCCCGUGCUAUGCCACGGAUUCACCUUUUAUUUUUAUAAAAAAGUUGGGUUCUACGUAUUGCAGGAUCCAAGUCUAUUUUGGGUCUUACACAACCAAUGAUCAAAGGAUAUUUUGGGUACUGCAACAUGCGGGAUCUAAGGAUAGUUGGGUCUUGGCGCAGUCCCAGUGCCACUUGUACGCUUGGUCUGGCAACACAAAGGCAGGUAGCCCAAGAGCAACGUGUUCCCAUGUGGUUUUUCUUCAAUAGUAACAACAGUUUUUUAAAAUUUAUUAAUGAUAAUGAUGAUAAUAAUAAUAAUAGUAUAAAAAUAAUAAUAAUUAUAACACAAAAGAUAACAUUUUUAAUAUUAAUAGAUUUGAUUAUAGUAAAAAUAAUAAUAUUCAUAACACAAAUAAUAGUAUUUUUAAUUCCAAGAAUAUUUAGAACACAAAUAAUAAUAUUUUUUAUAUUAAUACUUAGAAUUGUUGAAUAUUUUUAAUAAUAAUACGCCGCGGGCUCACUUUUUAUUUUUAUAAACAAUAUCAUAAAAAUUUAUAAUAUAAAUAGUAAUAUGUUUUCAAUAAUAAUAAUAAUAAUAAUAUUUUAUUUCAAAUUUAUUAAUUAUUUUAUUAAUAAUACUAAUUAUAAUAAAAAUUAUAAUAUUUACAAUACAAAUAAUUAUAUUUAGAUUCCUAGGACCUAGGAACCUUGGGUCUUGAUGAAUGACCGAAUAGAAUUGGGUCCUUAUGCAAGACCAAUUGAGCGUGGGUCCUAGCCAUAGUUUUAAAACCCGAACCGGUCCGGCGGGUUGACCCGGGACCCGGCCGACCCGGGCAUGAGACCGGUCCGGGUGGAGGCCAAAACCCGCUUGGGAAUUGACCUGGCCAGACCCGGUCGACCCGGAACCCGGUUGACCCGGCAAGACCCGACCGCAAACCCGUUGACUUUUAUUUUUUUUUUACUAAAACGACGUCGUUUUAAUUUUUUUAAAAAAAAAUUAAAAAUUUUUUUUUGACCCGGCGACCCGGUCGAGACCCGGUCAAAACCCGGAACCCGGGCCUUGGACCGGGCCGACCACCGGGCCGAGUCUAAAAACUAUGGUCCUAGCACCAAAUCCAUUUCCCUUGGGCGGGUGUUGGCUUGGCUCACACCACCGCAAGCCAGCCUAAGCACCACAUGUUCGCUUGGUCAACCUAACACACAGGCAUCAUCCCAAGUGCCAUGUUUGCAUUGGGGUUUGCCCAGCACACAGGUAGACAACCCAAGCACUCAAGGCUGGGCAGACCGAGCGCUAGGUGGCUACAGCCUGAGGGGGUAGCCAGUGGACGUUGCAUGCCCAGUGCCCAAGGCAGCCAAGCGCUAGGUGUUCGCAGCCUCAGUAGGCGCGCCUCCAGCCUGACGCUUGCGGCUUGCUGGUCGCAGCCUCACACAUGGCCCUACCAAACAAUGCUAUCCAUAGUGAAAGCACUUAUAAUCUAUAGUACUUCGUGCUAUAAUAUGUAAUAGUGUAAUCCAUAAUGAAUUCACUCAUAGUGCACAAUAGUUUGUACUAUAGUAAAAUACUGAUCAAUUUUAGUAAGAGGAAAGCUAUUCCUGGAAUAAUGAAGGAAUGCUGAAGUUGAUUCGGCCUUUUCCGGGGAAAAUAAAAAAAGAUCAUUCCUUCUGUAUUUGGGAAUGCUAGAUAUAGGUGUGGUGCUCGUAUUGUUUUCUUCACUUGAGUUUACUGGCCCACAUAAUUCCUGCUUCUUUAUUUUAUUUUCCCCGAAGAAGUUUAUAUAUAUGGGCAUGGUGCUCAUUAAAUGCAAUAGAUUUUGGAAAUUUAAACAAAAGUAUUUUCCCCGUAGUUUACCUGCUACGGUGCUUGUGCUGGAGUUUACUGCCCCACCUAUCAAAUUGCAGUGGUCAUAUGCAAAGAAAAGUCACUAAAAAGAGCAUCAUCAAUAUUCCAAGAAGGAUGGUACUUCCAUAAUCAUCGAGUUAAUGGACAUGACCACUGCAAUUUGAUAGGUGGGGCAGUAAACUCCAGCACAAGCACCGUAGCCCUCUGGUAAUGUCAGAAAAUACUUUUGUUUAAAUUUCCAAAAUCUAUUGCAUUUGAUGAGCACCAUGCCGAGUCAUCAAGUGCAGCCACAGAUACAAAAAUACAGGACAAGAAAAAUGAGAUGCUUAAAAUUGCAAGAAGUUUUGGCUCAUAAUCAAUGGACGCCAUGUUUGUGUCUAAUGCUUCCCUUCAAUGAUAAUGCUAAAUUUAUUAAUGAAGUGCAUGGCAUCAAUUCCCAUGGACUCGUUCCAAGUCAAGAUCGUCUGGUCUUUCACGUGUACCUUUCUCGCACGGGACAAGUUAAUCCAAUUUUUUUUUUCUUAUGAUGUGCAAUUUGAAAGCUUUACGUCCAUGGCUUUUUCAUGGACUCAUUCCACGUCUUGUAUUCCCUUUGUUUCAUAAAUAGAGUAGAUAAUCCGGCUGCUUCCAAGAGCAUGCAAUGGGCAAACUUUCCUUGAACCAGAUUGUCAGUAUCGGGAGAGCAACCAGACAUGGUUUAAUGUCCUGGAAAAAUAUCAGCCACAUUAGCAUGCCUAUGGUAAUAAGAAGAAGGCCCAUUUCUGUUUCUACAAGAAAACACAAUUAAUGUCAGUGUUGGUAUGUGGUCCAUUAACUCGAUGAUUAUGGAAGGACCAUCCUUCUUGGAAUAUUGAUGAUGCUCUUUUUUAGUGACUUUUCUUUGCAAUUUGAUAGGUGGGGCAGUAAACUCCAGCACAAGCAUCGUAGCCAAUUUCUUCGAAUUCCCAAUUCCCAAUUCCCAAUUUAUUUCCCACAAAUUCUUCGAAUUCCCAAUUUCUGAAGGGAUCGAACCUGUAAUCUUGAAAGACUGAUGUAGUUGUGGUGUAGAGAAAGUCCAAAACCGGUGUUUAUUGUCCAGCUUACACUGUUAAGCAAUUCAUAGCACCAAAAAUUAAGAACUGAAGAAAUGCAAUGCCAACUGUCAUGGUGAAGCAGCGUCGAAUAAAAUAGAACUUGAACAGUGUGAGUUGAUGGGUGAAAAUGAGAGCAUGAAAUUUCACCACCAUUGUUUUCUAAGUUUGUUUUUAUUGGUCUCAACAAUCUGUCACUCAAAAGAACAGGCAUUCUAUUUUUUAUCACGAACAGUGGCAUUUUAAAACUAAGAAGGCCAGGCAGUCAAUCCAUCCUUCCAUGGAAAGAGACCGUGUGGAAAAUAAUUGCUCGCGUCUUGGAGGCCAUGUUUGCGUCUAGUGCUUGCCUGCGAAAUUUAUGAAUGAAUUAAGUGCAUGGCUUUUUCAUGGACUCAUUCCACGUCUUGUAGGCCCUUUGUUUCAUAAAUAGAGUAGACUAGUAACAUGUCCCGCGCGAUGCCGCGGGUCAAUUAUUUUAUAUAUUUAAAAAAAAAAAACUAAAAUCUGAAAGUGUUAGGAUUUUUUAUAAAAUUAUACUCAAAAGUCUUAGGUUUGGUUGCAACGCCUGAACCAAGAGUAAUAUCUAUAAUAUUAAUAAUAACAUUAAACUUGCAUGACCUAAAUUUAAGUGGGUUUGGCUACAAUACCAGACCUAAUAGCAUUGGACGUGGGUCUAGUUGCAAGGGCGUGUCAUAAAAGUGUGAUAAUUAAAUAGAUUAAUUAAAAAAAAAAGGACAAAGAAAAAAAAACCAACAGGAAGAAAAAAACUAAUGAAGAAAAAAAAAAAAGCAUUAACUGGGUUAACCCUUCAAAUCACGUUAACCCGUCAAACCUUAGAUUCGCGUUGUAAAAGUUUGAUAACUAAAUAGGAAAAAACAAUUAAUGGGUUAACCCAGAAUUAACCUGACUAACUCGUCAAAUCAGGUUAACCCUUUAAACCCGGAAUCCGUGUCAUGAAAGUUUAAUAACUAAAUAGAAAAAAAAAAUUUAACAUUAACAAUUUAAAUUAAACAAAAAAAUUAAAAAAAAAACUAAAGGCAUAAGCUUUUUCACCGUGGACUGCACUGUGCAAUUCAUAGUCAAAGGCAUAAAAAAAAAAAAAACUAAAAGCAUCAGCCGAGAACUACAUAGAAAAAAAAUUUAAUAUUAAUAAACUAAAUUAAUUAAAAAGAAGGAAACCUCUAAGUAAAAAAAAAACAAACUAAAUAGAAAGAAAUUUAACAUUAAAAAAUUAAACUAAACGAAAAAAAUAAUUAAAAAGAUAAAAAAAGCAAAAAAAAUAAUUUCAAGUUAACUCGUCAAAUCAGGUUAACCCGUUAAAUCCGGGAUCCGUGUCAUGAAUAUUUGAUAACUAAAAAAAAAGAAAGAACGUUAACAAACUGAAUUAAACAAAAAAAAUUAAUUAAAAAGAAAAAAAAAAGAAAAUUUGUUUUGGAUUAACUUGUCCCGCGCGAGAAAGGUACACGUUAAAGACCAGACGAUCUUGACUUGGAACGAGUCCAUGGGAUUUGGGAAUGCCAUGCACUUCAUUAAUAAAUUUAGCAUUAUCAUUGAAGGGAAGCAUUAGACACAAACAUGGCGUCCAUUGUUUAUGAGCCAAAACUUCUUGCAAUUUUAAGCAUCUCAUUUUUCUUGUCCUGUAUUUUUGUAUCUAGUUCUGGUCCUCUGGCUGCACUUUAUGACUCGGCCUUGCUAGCAUCAGAAGGCAAGGCUUUGCUUGAGAGUGGAUGGUGGAGUCACUACAGCAACCUCACCUCACAUCGUUGCAACUGGACUGGCAUAGUCUGUGAUCGGGCUGGAAGAAUCACUGAGAUUUCCCCACCUCCAGAGUUCCACAAGGUGGGAAAUAAGUUUGGAAAGAUGAACUUUUCUUGCUUCUCAAACCUUGCCCGUCUCCACCUGGCCAACCAUGAGCUCAGUGGGAGCAUCCCGCCUCAAAUUUCCAUCCUUCCACAACUCAGAUACCUCAACCUGUCCUCAAAUUAUCUAGCAGGUGAGUUACCGUCUUCACUUGGAAAUCUCAGCCGAUUGGUUGAGCUUGAUUUUUCUUCCAAUUAUCUCAACUAUUCCAUCCCUCCAGAACUAGGCAAUCUUAAAAAUCUUGUUACUUUGAGCUUGUCUCAUAACAGAUUCAGUGGCCCAAUCCCUUCGGCACUUUGUCAUUUGGACAAUCUAACGCAUUUAUUUAUGGAUCGCAAUAUUCUCGAAGGUGCCCUCCCUAGAGAAAUAGGGAACAUGAGAAAUCUAGAGAGUUUGGAUGUGAGUGACAAUGCACUUUAUGGUCCAAUCCCUCGAACAUUGGGUAGGUUAGCCAAGUUGAGGUCUUUGAUCAUUAGUGAUGUCAGAGUCAGUGGAUCCAUUCCUUUGGAAAUAGGAAAUUUGACCAACCUUGAAGAUUUAGAUCUUUCCUCUAAUAUCAUCCUAGGUGGUUCGAUUCCUUCAACUGUAGGUUUUUUGUCUAAUUUGAUUUUUCUAAAUCUUUUCAAUAACCAAAUCACAGGUUCGAUUCCUUUUUCGUUAGGCAAUUUAACAAACUUGACAAUACUAGACCUCUCUUACAACCAAAUCAACGGAUCCAUCCCUUUGGAAAUACAAAACUUGACAAAUUUGAAAGAAUUAAAUUUGAGGUUAAACAAUAUCUGUGGUUCAAUUCCUUCAACUUUAGGCUUUUUAUCCAAUUUGUCUUUUCUAGAUCUUUCCUAUAACCAAAUCACUGGUUUGAUUCCUUCAACUUUGGGUCUUUUAUCCAAUUUGAUUAUUCUAGAUUUUUCCUACAACCAAAUCACAGGUUCGAUUCCUUUUUCGUUAGGCAAUUUAACAAACUUGACAAUACUAGACCUCUCUUACAACCAAAUCAACGGAUCCAUCCCUUUAGAAAUACAAAACUUGACAAAUUUGAAAGAAUUAAAUUUGAGGUUAAACAAUAUCUGUGGUUCAAUUCCUUCAACUUUAGGCUUUUUAUCCAAUUUGUCUUUUCUAGAUCUUUCCUAUAACCAAAUCACUGGUUUGAUUCCUUCAACUUUGGGUCUUUUAUCCAAUUUGAUUAUUCUAGAUUUUUCCUACAACCAAAUCACAGGUUCGAUUCCUUUUUCGUUAGGCAAUUUAACAAACUUGACAAUACUAGACCUCUCUUACAACCAAAUCAACGGAUCCAUCCCUUUAGAAAUACAAAACUUGACAAAUUUGAAAGAAUUAAAUUUGAGGUUAAACAAUAUCUGUGGUUCAAUUCCUUCAACUUUAGGCUUUUUAUCCAAUUUGUCUUUUCUAGAUCUUUCCUAUAACCAAAUCACUGGUUUGAUUCCUUCAACUUUGGGUCUUUUAUCCAAUUUGAUUAUUCUAUAUCUUUCCUCUAACCAAAUCACUGGUUUGAUUCCUUUUUCAUUAGGCAAUUUAACAAGCUUGAGAAAUUUAGACCUCCAUGACAACCAAAUCAACGGAUCCAUCCCUUUAGAAAUACAAGACUUAACAAAUUUGAAAGAAUUAAAUUUGAGUUCAAACAAUAUCUGUGGUUCGAUUCCUUUAACUUUAGGCUUUUUAUCCAAUUUGUCUUUUCUAGAUCUUUCCUAUAACCAAAUCACUGGUUUGAUUCCUUCAACUUUGGGUCUUUUAUCCAAUUUGAUUAUUCUAGAUCUUUCCUCUAACCAAAUCACUGGUUUGAUUCCUUUUUGGUUAGGCAAUUUAACAAACUUGACAAGCCUAGACCUCUCUCACAACCAAAUCAACAGAUCCAUCCCUUCAUCUUUGAAGUAUUGUAAUAAUUUGGCCUCCCUAGAUUUGAGCUUCAAUAAUUUAAGUGGAGAGAUACCCUCCGAACUAUAUGACUUGGGCUCUUUAAAUUAUGUGAAUUUUAGUUACAAUAAUCUCUCAGGCCGUGUUCCCUUGAAUUUGCCAACACCCUUUGAUUUUUAUUUCUCAUGUGAUUUACUUCUUCUUGGGGAAAUUACCAACAAUUCUGCAACUUUUAAAGCUACUGCAUUUGAGGGCAACAAAUAUUUACACCCUAAUUUCUCACGUUGUCCAUCUAUUUACUCCCCACCUUCACAAACCUACUUGUUACCUUCAAAAGACAACAAAAUAAUUCAUUCCAUCAAGAUCUUUCUUCCUAUCACCAUCAUUUUACUUUGUCUCUUGUGUCUUGGACGUUGUUAUUAUCUGUCUCGAUGCAAGGCUACCCAACCUGAGCCAACAACAUUAAAGAAUGGAGACUUGUUUUCCGUAUGGAAUUAUGAUGGGACGAUUGCAUACGAAGACAUCAUUACAGCGACCGAGAACUUUGACCUCAGAUAUUGUAUCGGAACCGGUGGUUAUGGGAGCGUCUACCGAGCACAACUUCCAGGUGGGAAAUUAGUUGCCUUGAAGAAACUUCAUCAUCGAGAGGCAGAGGAGCCGGCUUUUGACAAGAGUUUCAAAAAUGAGGUGGAAGUGCUCACACAAAUACGUCAUAGGAGCAUUGUAAAGCUUUAUGGAUUCUGUUUGCACCAGCGCUGCAUGUUUCUUGUUUACGAGUACAUGGAAAAGGGAAGCUUGUUUUGUGCCUUGAGAAAUGAUGUCGGAGCUGUGGAAUUGAAAUGGAUGAAAAGAGCACACAUCAUCAAAGACAUUGCUCACGCAUUAUCUUACUUGCAUCAUGAUUGCAACCCGCCAAUUGUUCAUCGAGACAUAUCAAGCAGCAAUGUCCUGUUGAAUUCAGAAUCCAAGUCUUUUGUUGCUGAUUUUGGCGUGGCUAGACUUCUCGAUCCUGAUUCGUCCAACCAUACUGUACUUGCUGGUACCUAUGGAUACAUUGCCCCAGGUAAAAAUAUUUCUUCUUAACAUCCAUAUUUACCACUCAUGCACUUCAAAACUAAAGCAAACUCUCUUUUAAAUAUAUAUAUAUAUAUAUAUAUAUUAAUUUUGUUUUGAAUAUGGACAGAGUUGGCUUAUACUAUGGCGGUGACAGAGAAAUGUGAUGUGUACAGCUUUGGAGUUGUGGCGCUUGAAACUUUGAUGGGAAGGCAUCCGGGAGAUAUCCUAUCAUCAUCUGCUCAGGCUAUUACACUGAAAGAAGUGUUAGAUCCUCGUUUGCCACCUCCAACAAAUGAGAUUGUCGUACAAAAUAUAUGUACCAUUGCAAGUCUUAUAUUUUCUUGCUUACAUUCAAAUCCAAAAAAUCGACCUUCGAUGAAAUUUGUGUCUCAAGAAUUUCUAUCUCCCAAGAGAUUAUUGGGAGGUCUCGAGAUUUCUUUGUUGGAGCUUCGAAAUCUUGGCUGGCACACAAAUGUAGGUGAGAUCAUAGUUCCUCGCUGAAAAAGUCAACUUCGAGCUCACAUGGAACUUCAACGAGAGCGCCUCCAAGAGUAUGUGUUUAUAGAAUUUCUUAAUUUUGGAUGAACUUUUUUUCUUUUGUUUUGUUUUAGCACACUACACGACUUUGUAAUAUUUUAGUGUGACAUUGUAUGUAAUUCUAAUAAUGCACACUUUUCUUGUGCAUGAUAACUAGUAUCAAUAUAUAUGAGCAUCAUAUUAAGUCUACCUCUCUAUACGUCGAGGUUAAAUUGAAAUCAUCACUCAUCUUAUAAUUAGGCAAAUCCACACUUGAAAUAUGCAGAAGAUAUUUGUUAACUACAUUAAUUUGUCCCUGCAAGCUCUUGUAUAAUAGAUGCCUGAAAGUAGUGAUUGGAUCUACUCUCUACAGUCUGUUCUGACUCCUAUAACUAUCUGAGCAACAUGUUUUGUUUCCCCCCCCCUGAAUGAUGCACCUUAUUAUUUAUCAUUUGGCACAGAUUGAAUUUUCAAUCAUCUUCCACUCCAAAUGAAGAUUUACGUCUCAUGUUAGGGACCAAGCUUUGACCUCAAGGAUAGUGAGUCGAGAUGUCCACCCUCCAUAUACUAGAUAGACAUGCCCCAACAUCGGCCACCAUGUCUAUCUAGUAAAAUGUACAAGAUCCCUAGCUAUAGAUUAUUUUCAAUCUCAGAGACAUUUACUAACAGAGAAAAUAUAUCAUAGUAUCCGAUUAUGAGUGUCGCACGUGUGCAGCGUCGCGGCGAAAAUAACAUAGUUGUUUGUUUUCAUUUUCUUAAUCUACAAUGUAAAUCUAUCUAUAUCUAUGGGGAUACAAGAAAAUACUGUCUUUUAUUGGUAGAAAAUGGAAUGGGAGUCGCCACCUAGUAUUUUGGUCACUAGGAACCCUAACUGGUCUCAGAGAUCGGGUACGGGGACUGGUUGCGUAAAGAAAAGGUAUUAGCACCCCAAAUACGCCCUAUCUAAGGUAAGCUGCAUUGUUUUAUUGUCUGAUAAAAUCUAAGGUCUUUUCGUGUUUUCCUAGUUGCUUGUAUGGUUUAAGAAAAGUCCUCCCCUGUAAGGAGAUCCUUAUCUUAAAGGGUAAUCCUAACCGUUCUAACUUCUAUACCAAAACUUUAUUAAUAGUAUUUAGGAAUACGUUUUACAUAUAAAUUCGUAAUCCCAAAUACUACAAGAAAACAAAAAGAUUUUUUUAGAAUUUUUGAAAUAUUGGCCUAAUUCUCAUGGCUUGAAUAAACUGGUUAUUAAAGCCAAAAUGCAUGCUAAUACAUAUAUUGUUUUGAGAAUUUUCUUUGUUGUGUGAAAAUAUGAUGUUAUAAUAUUUAUAUAUAUAUAUUGGAGAGACUAGGCCGUAUUUUAAAACAAAAACAAUUUUUUUUGAAUUUUUUUUUUAUGCUUUGACGAAAAUUGGGUAUUUUAAUAAUGAGUUUGUAUCCUUACGGUAUAAAAAUACUAACCAACAUUAAUCCACCUUAAUAAAAAAUAUGCAGGAAAAAUCAACAAUAUUUUUAAAGAACUUUUGGAAUUUUUUGAAAGUAAAAACAUUUUUUAUUUUGAAAAUCUUUGAUGUUUUGACGAAAACCGGGUAUUUUAAUACUGGAUUUAUAUCUUUACGGUAUAAAAAUACAAACCAACAUUAAGCCAUUUUGACAAAAAUAUGCAGGAAAAUCAAUAAUAUUUUUCAAGAUUUUUUAGAAUAUAUUUUUUAAAAUAUACAUACAUAUAUAAUAUAAUAUAAUAUAUAAUAGUAUAUAAUAUAAUAUAUUAUGUGGGCCGGCCCGGCCCAACCGAAUGGGCCAGACUCAGCCCAGCAGGAAUGGGGCCGAUUUCGGCCCAGAAUGGAUUGGGCCGAUCUCGGCCCAAUAAAAAACUCAUAUCUAGGCCGGACUUGGCCCAUAUAGCUGGGAUGGGCCAGACCUGGUCUAGCCCAUCAAACACAGGGAUGGGCCAGACCCAGUCUGGCCCAAAAAAAUGCUGGGCCAGGAUCCGCCUGGCCCAGCUACGCAUCGUCAGGGGGGAAAUUAUUUCCCCCCUCCUCCUGCAUGCAGAACGUUCGUUCUGCAUGCAGGGAAACAAAUUAAAAUGCCAACAGCUAGGGGGGAGAAGAAGUUACCUGGCGUGGAAGAGGCGGUCGCGGGUGGUGCUGCGGUGGAGGCCGGUGGUCGUCGUGGCUCACGGACGGCGGCUCCCAGCGGCGGUGCUGCUGCUCAAACGGCGAAAAAAAGAUUUUCUUCCUCUUCCCCUCUUCUUUUUUUCGUUUUCGGUAUUUCUUUCUUUUCCUUCCUUUCUCUUUGUUUUCUGUUUUCUUUUCUUUUGUUUUCGAUUUAUUCUUUCCUCUUUUCUCUCUCUCUUCGGUCUCCUCUCUCUCUCCUCCCUUCGGUCCGUUUUUUUUCCUUUUCUUUUUGUUCUCUCUUUAUAGGUGAGAAAAGGCGUUGGGACCGUUAUUAGUGCGCCUGGGGAGCGGGUUUCGCGGCGGCUGGUCGGCCGCCACCCGCGACAGCAAGGCACCGUUCCUUUACUUUCGGCCGGUGGUCGGCCAAUGACUUCGGUCGGUGGUCCCACGGUGUGGGGCUUCGGGCUGUUCGGUGGAGAUGCAGAGGAGAGAGGGGUGGGAAGAUUUUCAAAAACAAAGUUUUCUUCCUUCUGUUGCAGGUUCGGGGGGAGGGGAAGAAGAAAGGGGAACAGUGUCGUUCAAAACGGCACCGUUCAGUCUUUUUUUUUUUUUUUUUUAUGUAUGAAACAACGUCGUUUUGGAGAAAACGCGCCGUUUCAUUUAAAAAUGGCCCUAGAACGCGCCAAAUUUCCAACUUAGGCCUCAAUCAUCUUUGUUCAUUUCAAUUGCGUCCCUGCCAAUUUCGAUCCCCGCCCCCAUAGUUGGCCGCGAUUUUCACUUUGGUCCUUGGCCUCUGAUUUAUGCAAUUAAGCCCUCAAUUGAUCAAUAAGCUUCCAAUUUCUUCAAUUAGGCCCCUGAAUCAAUUCAAAACAGCCCCCCCUCUAUUUACCCGCUUUUUCCAAAUUGGUCUCUGGUUUCGAAUUUUCACAAUUAAACCCCUAAUUGGCCAUUAAACUUCAAUAUUUAUGCAAUUAAGCCCCUGAUUUGACCCAAUAAAUUCCUAAAAAAUAUAUUUUGGCCCCAGAACUUAAAUUUCUUCUAAUUAAAGCCCAAAUUGACUUAAAAAUCGAUUUUUCUUGCAAUCAAAUCCUCUAUAAAUUCAAAUAAAAAUCCAAUUAAGUCCAUAAACAUCCAAAUUUGAACUUUUCUCCUCAAACUUCCAAUUUUCUUAUCCAAUAGGGCUCUCAUCAUUCAAGAAUAUAUUGUCAAAAAUCCAUCUUUGUAUUUUUAAUCUCCUUGACCGAUUUUUCUGACCAUUUGCUGAGCGCUUCUGCCUCCUGAUAUUUUUCUAACCUCCUUUGGCUAUUUAUUUUAUUUCAUUUAUUUGGGGACCCGAAAAUGGGUUACAACAAUGAGCACAUGAUUUCUUCGUAUCAGCAUCUGAUUUAUAAAAUAUUGAAACCAAUUUUUAAAGUUGAAAUUCUUUACCUUUGUCGCACCCCCACAAAAAAACAAAUUUCAAUUUGCGAUUUUACGGGUUCGACUGGCGAAUUUUUAUUUUUUGGUUUGAUUUGGUUCUUUGGAGUCGCCACCUAGUAUUUUGAUCACUAGGAACCUUAACUGGUCUCAGAGAUCAGGUACGGAGACUGGUUGCGUAAAGGGAAGGUAUUAGCACCCCAAAUACGCCUUACCUGAGGUAAACUGCAUUGUUUUAUUGUCUGAUAAAAAAAAAACUAAAGUGUUAUUAUGUUUUUCUAGUUGUUGGUCUGUCUAUGGUUCAAGAAAAAUCCCCCUCGGUAAGGAGGUCUUUAUCUUAUCGGGUAAAAAUCCUAACCGUUCUAACGUCCAUACCAAAAUUUUAUUAAUAAUAUUUAGGAAUACGUUUUACGUAUAAAUUCGUAAUCCCAAAUAUUAAAAGAAAACAAAAAGAUUUUUUUUAGAAUUUUUGAAAUAUUGGCCUAGUUCUCAUGGCUUGAAUAAACUGGUUAUUAAAGCCAAAAUGCAUGUUAAUACAUAUAUUGUUUUUUGAAAAUUUUCUUUGUUGUGUGAAAAUAUGAUGUUAUAAUAUUUAUGUAUAUAUAUUGGAGAGACUAGGCCGUAUUUUAAAACAAAAACAAUUUUUGGAAAAUAUUAUUUUUUUUAUGCUUUGACGAAAAUCGGGUAUUUUAAUACUGAGCUUGUAUCCUUACGGUAUAAAAAUACAACCCAAUAUUAAUCCAUUUUGAUAAAAAUAUGCAGAAAAAUCAACAACAUUUUUAGGGACUUUGUAGAAUUUUUUGAAAGCAAAACAUUUUUUAUUCUGAAAAUCUUUGAUAUUUUGACGAAAACCGUGUAUUUUAAUACCAGAUUUGUAUCUUUACAAUAUAAAAAUACAAACUGAUAUUGACCAAAAUACAGUAAUAAAAUUACAGAAAAAUCACAAAUUCUUUGAAAUAUCUUUUUUUGAAAAUUUUUUAUUUUUUUUUAUAUAUAUAUAUAUAUUUUUUUGGGUGAGGCCCACGUGGCUGGGCUGCACCCAGCAAGCCUCAUGUGAACAGUGAAUCAUGUCUUAUGUGAACAGUGAAUAGCAUUUCACUGUUCAAUUGAAUUAUAUUUGAUGUGAACAGUGAAUUAACAUUUCACUUGAACAGUAAAAUGCAAGGAAAUGGUGCAUGCACAGCGACGAAAGGGGGUGCAAACCUGGUGGCAGAAACGAUGCCGAAGUCGAUGGCUAACACUCCCAGUGAUGCUGGUGGCGGUGGACAGGAAGCCAAUGGGGGUUCACGGUGGUUCUGACGGUGGCAGUGGUUGGGAAGCUCGAUGACAGCAGCUGCCUUCUCUUCUUCUUCCCCUUUACAGAGGCGUUUCUUCUUCUCUUGGUUUCUUUCAGUCAGCAAUGUUCUUCCCUCUCUAUGGCAGCUUUGUGAAGGCGCUGGUAGUGGUGGCCGGGGAGUGACUGGGACGGUGGUCGGUGACUGUGGAGUGUGGUGUUCAGCCUUUCUCCCUUUUCUUCUCUGCGUUCCUCUUCAGCUGUCUCCUCCUCUGUGUGCUGGGUUGGGCGCUAUUUAUAGAGCCAGUGGGCGUGGCUUCACCGUGGAGCCAAGGAGCGGGUCGGGGAGCGGCUCAUGUGAACAGUGAAUAGUAUUUCACUGUUCACGUGAAUUAUAUUUGAUAUGCACAGUGAUCUUAGCAUUUCACUGUUCACGUGAAUUAUAUUUGAUAUGCACAGUGGACUAGCAUUUCACUGUUCACGUGAAUUAUAUUUCACUUGAACAGUGAAAUGCAAGGAAAUGGUGUAUGCAGAACGACUUCCAAUUUUAAGAAUAAAAUUCAAUUGCGUCCCUGCCAAAUUCGAUCCCUACCCCUAUAGUUGGCCGCGUUUUUCAUUUUGGUCCUUGGCCUCUGAUUUUCACAAUUAAACCCCUAAUUGAUCAAUAAGCUUCCAAUUUCUUCAAUUAAACCCCUGAAUCAAUUCCAAACAGCCCCCUUUAUCUUUGCGCCUUCUCCAAAUUGGUCCCUGGUUUCGGAUUUUCACAAUUAAGUCCCUAAUUGGCCAUUAAACUUCAAUAUUUAUGCAAUUAAACCCCUGAUUUGACCCAAUAAAUUCCUAAAAAAUAUAUUUUGGCCCCAAAACUUAAAUUUCUUCUAAUUAAAGCACAAAUUGACUUAAAAAUCAAUUUUUCUUGCAAUCAAAUCUUCUAUAAAUUCAAAUAAAAAUUCAAUUAAGUCCAUAAACAUCCAAAUUUGGGCUUUUCUCCUCAAAAUUCAAAUUUUCCUUCUCAAUAGGGCUUUCAUCCUUCAAGAAUAUACUGUCAAAAAUUCAAUCCUUGUAUUUUUAAAUUCCUUGACCAAUUUAUCUAACUGUUUUCUGAGCGCUUCUGCCUCCUGUUAUUUUCUAACCUCUUUUGGCUAUUUAUUUUAUUUUUCAUGGGGACCCAAAAAUGGGUUACAACAACCUUGUUAUCACAUUGAUCAUCCCAUUAAUUUCCCCUUCAUGAUAUCCUUAAAUAAGAAAAAGCUUAGGGUAUGUGCAACUGUCCUGAAGCUCUUAGACAAUCCAGGAGAAAAAAUUUAUUUGGCACAUCAUAUAUUUCCUUGGACGGUCGUUCAUAAAUCGUAUAUGCUAAAUGUUUUACAUACUCUAAUUAUAACAAAUGAUUAUGUAUGACAGUUCACAUUCUCCUGCAUGAAAGCUCUAUGUACCCAUUAUCUUGGUGACAAUUGACAAGUCGCCGAUGCAAUUCUGCAAUUAUAUUAGAAUGCAAGGAUGAUAUAUUUAUUUAGGAUUUUAUAAAUUAUCCCAUGGCUGUGUAUAUUCAAUAAUUUUGUUUAAUGAUUACAGCCCCACAUCAGUUUCUUGUUCGAGGCUUUUCGGGCCUUCAAUUGAACCUAAACAAAAACAAACUAUUCCAACAUGAACACGAAACAAAGCCGAAGAAGCUAUGGGCUUAAUUAAGCCUUUUUAUACGAGCAAGACGAAUCAGCACGAGAUUUCAAAUUCCUGCAAGAAUUACUAGAACCCACAAACGUGGCAACUCAAGGGCCUCAUCAUCCAAAACCAAAAUGCAAGUACUCCCCUAAAAGAUAAGAUUGUAGGGUUGUACAGGUCUCCUUCUGCAAUUACUUGUCAAGUCCUCCAACUAUUGCCUAAUUCUUAAUCAAGUCCCUCAAUCCAAAUUGGAUAUCCAUCACACAUUAUCCAAUUCACCCGUCACCAUAAAAAAAAUUAAAAAUUGAAAUAACUAAUUUGUUUAAGAUGGAUGGUUCUAUGGUUCUGAUUUACAAAUCUUGAGAUCAAACUUAGAAUCCCAUGAAAGUCUUUGGUUUAGAAUAAAUAAAUCAUCUCUUUUUAGAUUAAAAGUUACUUCUAACACGAUAAUAAAAAAUAGUUAAGUCUAGUUUUAUGAUUUUAAAGAAAAACAUUUAAAAUCAAAAGUCAGUUUAAAAAAGAUCACGAGUAAUUCAUUCUAAAUAUUUACAGUAAACGGAGCCAGAAUUUCAAGAGCCUUUGAUUAUUAAAAUUAACACCUCACUUAAAAUCCAAACAAAUUUAGAAACGCGAGAAAGUCGUUCAGAUAAGGCUGAAAAAAGAAAAAAGAAACCAACGAUUUUUCAAUCUUCCCGCUUAUUGCUUAAUCAAGCAGAGAUGGUGGUUGCUUAGAUUUUCUCCUUCAAUUAUAGUUUAUCGUUCAGUUUCAACCAUAAACAGGCAAGACUCCCACGAAUCCAGGCUGUUUUCGGACACCAAUUAAGAAAUCUGAGAUAUCUCUUCACAUUGCCCUCAAUUAUUUGGUUGUGUCAUCUAGCAGGGCUCUUCUGAGAACGAUAGAGAUUUCUUUGGAUCUGAUGAUUUUGGUCUGAAGCCAAUCAGAACGGAAUCCACAUCAACAACGAAUACUUUCCAGAAAAAGAGUAUAUUUUUUGAAGAAUCUGUUGCAGGUUCCCCAAUGUCAAGAUUUGGCAACUCUCCAAGGUUCAGCGAAGCAGGGGACCAUUUUGACAAUUACUCGAGAUUUGAUUCCUUCAGCAUGAAUGAAGGAGGCUUUUCACCACGAGAAAAGCUUACAAGGUUCGACUCCAUAAACAGCUCCAAAGAUUUUGGCCACAGCCGUGCAUUCUCUUCAUUUGGGUUUUGCAUGUCGGAUUUGGCCCCGAUUUGAUGAUUUUUUGGGUGAAUCUAUUUUAUCUAUAACGUAGUAAGUAAAUAGCUAUUCCCGGAAUAAUAAAGGAAUGUUGAAGUUGAUUCGGCUUUUCCCGGGGAAAAGAUAAAAAGAUCAUUCCUUCUGUAUUUUGGAAUGCUAGAUAUAGGUACGGUGCUCGUAUUGUUUGUUUUCUUCACUAGAGUUUACUGCCCAACAUAAUUCCUGCUUCUUUAUUUUAUUUUCCCCGAAGAAGUUUAUAUAUGGGCAUGGUGCUCAUCAAAUGCAAUAGAUUUUGGAAAUGUAAACAAAAGUAUUUUCUGACAUUACGAGAGGGCUACGGUGCUUGUGCUGGAGUUUACUGCCCCACCUAUCAAAUUGCAGUGGUCAUAUGCAAAGAAAAGUCACUAAAAAGAGCAUCAUCAAUAUUCCAAGAAAGAUGGUCCUUCCAUAAUCAUCGAGUUAAUGGACCACAUACCGACACUGACAUUAAUUGUGUUUUCUUGUAGAAACAGAAAUGGGCCUUCUUCUUAUUACCAUAGGCAUGCUAAUGUGGCUGAUAUUUUUCCAGGACAUUAAACCAUGUCUGGUUGCUCUCCCAAUACUGACAAUCUUGACUCAAACUACUUCAAGGAAAGUUUGCCCAUUGCAUGCUCUUGGAAGCAGCCGGAUUAUCUACUCUAUUUAUGAAACAAAGGGAAUACAAGACGUGGAAUGAGUCCAUGAAAAAGCCAUGGACGUAAAGGUUUCAAAUUGCACAUCAUAGUAGGAACCGAACCAUGGACAUUAUUUGAACUGAGAUCUAAUGUUUUCAAAUUUUCCAUGUUCCUAUUUCAUAAAGGAUGGAUCCGUUGAUUUUAUUGAAAGAAAGGUCAAUAUAUCUCAAACUGGUUAAACUGUCUACUCUGGAAUGAAUGGAACCACUGAUAAUGUUUGAAUCGGGAUCUAUGGCUUCCAAAUUUGCCAAGUUUCAUAUUUUCAAAUGGAUGUAUCCGUUGAUUUGAUUGGAAUAAGGCUUUAGAUAUCUCAAAAUGGUUAUACUAAGGUUGUUAAUUUUAUUUUGUUCUAUCCGGAAUGACCGGUAUUCUUGUUCCAGUUAAAAAAACAAAAUAAACCGAAAUAAAUUUCAUGUCAAUCAGAAUCUUGGCCUGUUCUUGAAAUAAAUCGGCCUGUUUUAUUUGGUGUUAUCCUGGUCUCAGUAUCUGGAUCAUAAAUUAGAAAUAUUAACCUGAGUCGAUCUAAUAUGUUCUCGUCUUAAUAUUUUUUAAGAAAAAAUAUACAGUCUUGAAUUUUUUUUAGUCAAACGAUAUUUUUAUCAAUCGUCCAUAUUGUCUUCAAACCUAUUUAGUUGAUCGGGUCAUAUUCAUUCAACUCUUAUUUUUUUUACUUGUGUUUAAAAUUUAAAAAACAUAAUUUCAAGUUAGUUUUUUAAAUUGUCUAAUGAAAAAGGAAUCGAACAAGUGAUGUAGAGAAAGUCCAUACAAAUUCUUCGAAUUCCCAAUUUCUGAAGGGAUCGAACCUGUAAUCUUGAAAGACUGAUGUAGUUGUGGUGUAGAGAGAGUCCAAAACCGGUGUUUAUUGUCUAGCUUACACUGGUAAGCAAUUCAUAGCACCAAAAAUUAAGAACUGAAGAAAUGCAAUGCCAAUUGUCAUGGUGAAGCAGCGUCAAAUAAAAUGGAACUUGAACAGUGUGAGUUCAUGGGUGAAAAUGAGAGCAUGAAAUUUCACCACCAUUGUUUUCUCGUACUUCUCAGUUUGUUUUUAUUGGUCUCAACAAUCUGUCACUCAAAAGAACAGGCAUUCUAUUUUUGAUCACGAACAGUAGCAUUUGAAAACUAAGAAGGCCAGGCAGUCAAUCCAUCCUUUCAUGAAAAAUAAUCGCUCGCGUCUUGGAGACCAUGUUUGCGUCUAAUGCUUGCCUGCGAAAUUUAUGAAUGAAUUAAGUGCAUGGUUUUUUCAUGGACUCAUUCCACGUCUUGUAGGCCCUUUGUUUCAUAAAUAGAGUAGGCUAGUUACAUGUCCCGCGCGAUGCCGCGGGUCAAUUAUUUUUUAUAUUUUUUAAAAAACUAAAAUUUGAAAGUGUUAGGUCUUUUUACAAAAUUAUACCCAAAAGUCUUAGGUUUGGUUGCAACGCCUAAACCAAGAGUAAUAUCUAUAAUAUUAAUAAUAACAUUAAACUUGCAUGACCCAAAUUUAAGUAGGUUUGGCUACAAUACCAGACCUAAUAGCAUUGGACGUGGGUCUAGUUGCAAGGGUGUGUCAUAAAAAUGUGAUAAUUAAAUAGAUUAAUUAAAAAGAAAAAGACAGAAAAAAAAACCAACAGAAAGAAAAAAACUAAUGAAGAAAAAGAAAAAAAAUAUAUGCAUUAACUAGGUUAACCCUUCAAACCAGGUUAACCCGUCAAACCUUAGAUUCACGUCGUAAAAGUUUGAUAACUAAAUAGGAAAAAACAAAUUAAUGGGUUAACCCAGAAUUAACCGGGCUAACUCGUCAAAUCAGGUUAACCCGUCAAACCCGGAAUCCGUGUCAUGAAAGUUUAAUAACUAAAUAGAAAAAAAAAUUUAACAUUAACAAUUUAAAUUAAACAAAAAAAUUAAUUAAAAAGAAAAAAAAACAAAAAAAAACUAAAGGCAUCAGCCUUUUAACCGUGGACUGCACUGUGCAAUCCAUAGUCAAAUGCAUAAAAAAAAAAAAAAAAAAAAAAAAAACUAAAGACAUCAGCCGAGAACUAUAUAGAAAAAAAUUUAAUAUUAAUAAACUAAAUUAAUUAAAAAGAAGAAAACCUCUAAGAAGUAAAAAAAAUACUAAAUAGAAAAAAAUUUAACAUUAACAAAUUAAACUAAACGAAAAAAAAAUUAAAAAGAUAAAAAAAGCAAAAAAAACAAUUUAAGGUUAACUCGGCAAACCAGGUUAACCAGUUAAAUCUGGGAUUCGUGUCAUGAAUAUUUGAUAACUAAAUAAAAAAAAAGUGAACGUUAACAAACUGAACUAAACAAAAAAAAUUAAUUAAAAUGAAAAAAAAAUUUGGGUUAACUCGUCAAACCAUGUUAACCCGUUAAACUCAGGAUCUGUGUCAUGAAAGUCUGAUAACUAAAUAAAAAAAUUAACAUUAACAAACUAAAUUAAACAAAAAAAAUAUAUGAAAAAAAAAAAACAAAAUUGACGGGUCAACCUAGAAUUAACUGAGUUCACCCGUGAAACCAGGUUAACCCGUGAAACUCGAGAUAUAUGUUAUGAAAGUCAGAUAACUAAAUAUAAAGAAAUUUAAUAUUAACAAACUAAACUAAACAAAAAAAAAGCAAAAAAAUAAUUUCUAAGUUAACUUGUCAAACCAGGUUAAUGUGUUAAACUCAGAAAACAUUUCAUGAAAGUUUGAUAACUAAAUAAAAAAAAUUUAACAUUAAUAAACUAAAUUAAACAAAAAAAAAGAAUUUGUUAAAAGAAAAAAAAAAGAAAGAAAAAAAAAAAUAAUCCCGAAAUGCAUUAAAAAAAACAACUAAAAAAAUAAGACAACUUAAAAAAAAAACUAGUAUAUGUUACAAUAAUCCGGUUGCUUCCAAGAGCAUGCAAUGGGCAAACUUUCCUUGAAGUAGUUUGAGUCAACAUCGUCACUAUUCGCCCCCGCGCGCGCGCGCACCCAACUGAACUUGCACGUCAAUGUAGACUAAUAAUCAGCUUGUCCUAGCCUACAAGUCGAGUCCAACCUAACCAAUCUACUGUUAUUGUAAAAAAAUAAAAUUCAUAAGAAUUUAUAAUACAAAUAAUAAUAUGUUUUCAAUAUUAAUAAUAAUAUUUUCUUUCAAAUUUAUUAAUUUUUUUUAUUAAUAAUAUUAAUUAUAAUAAAAAUAAUAAUAUUUAUAAUACAAAUAAUUAUAUUUAGAAUCCUAGGACUGAGCGCCAAGUAGCUAUAGCCUGAAGGGGUGGCCAGUGGAUGUUGCAUGCCCAGCGCCCAAGGUAGCCAAGCGCUAGGUGUCCGCAACCUCAGUAGGCACGCCUCUAGCCUGAUGCUUGCAGCUUGAUAGUCGCAGCCUCACACAUGUUCCUGUUAAACAGUGCUGUACAUAAUAAAAAUUUAUAGUACUCCGUGCUACAGUAUGUAACAUUAUAAUCUAUAAUGAAUUCACUUACUUUGCACAAUAGCCUGCACUAUGGUAAAAUACUGAUAAGUAUUAGUAAGAGGAUAGCUUUUCCUGGAAUAAUAAUUGAAUGCUGAAGUUGAUUCGGCUUUUUCCGGGGAAAAGAAAAAAGAUAAUUCCUUCUGUAUUUUGGAAUGCUAGAUAUAGGUAUGGUGCUCGUAUUGUUUUCUUCACUUGAGUUUACUGCCCCACAUAAUUCCUGCUUCUUCAUUUUAUUUUCCCCGAAGAAGUUUAUAUAUGGGCAUGGUGCUCAUCAAAUGCAAUAAUAGAUUUUGGAAAUUUAAACUAAAGUAUUUUCUGACAUUACGAGAGGGCUACGGUGCUUGUGCUGGAGUUUACUGCCCCACCUAUCAAAUUGCAAAGAAAAGUCACUAAAAAAGAGCAUCAUCAAUAUUACAAGAAAGAUGGUCCUUCCAUAAUCAUCGAGUUAAUGGACCACAUACCGACACUGACAUUAAUUGUGUUUUCUUAUGGAAUCACACUAUUGCCGCUCCCAACACGGCAAAGUGACUAAGGUGGUGAUUUUUGUUGUGGUAGCUGGAGGUGGAGGAGGAGUGAGGGAGGUUGGUGUGAUGGAUAUGGAGUUACCAGUACACUACUAGUUGUGCUCUCAUCUAAGCAGCUUCGAUCCAUUUCUUUUUUUUCUUUUCAAAUAAAAAUGCAAUUGAUACUGUAAAAUUAGAGAGGUUUUUUUUUUUUUAAAGCAAAAAAAAUACUAUUUAGCCGGAACGGAACCGGAAUGCUCUAGCCAAAAUUUAAUCGAAAUAUUUUGUCUGAGAUUUUCAAAAUAGAUCGAGAUUCGGAUUAGAUGAAAUUUAUUUUGGUUUAUUUUGUUUUUUAAAGUGGAACAAAAAUACCAUUCAUUCCGAAGAGAACAUAAUAGAAUUAACAAUCUUAAUAUAAUUAUUUUGAGAUAUCUAAAACAUUAUUUCAAUCAAAUCAACGAAUCCAUCCCUUUAAAAAUAUAAAACUUGGCAAAUUUAGAAGCCAUAGAUCUCUAUUCAAAUAAUAUCAGUGGUUCCAUUCAUUCCAGAGUAGGCAAUUUAUCCAAUUUGAGAUAUAUUAACCUUUUUUCCGAUCAAAUCAACAGAUCCAUCUUUUAUGAAAGAGUGAACAUGGAAAAUUUGAAAACAUUAGAUCUCAGUUCAAAUAAUCCGGUUGCUUCCAAGAGCAUGCAAUGGGCAAACUUUCCUUGAAGUUGUUUGAGUCAAGAUCGUCACUAUUCGCCCCCGCGCGCACGCGCACCCGACUGACCUUGCACGUCAAUGUAGACUAAUAAUCAGCUUGUCCUAGCUUACAAGUUGAGUCCAACCUAACCAAUCUACUGUUAUUGUAAAAAAAAAAAAAAAAAAAAAGCAAUCCAAUUCCCAAUUCAAUAUAUACAGAAUCUAUAAAAAUUAAAAAUAUUACAUUGCAGCUACGAUUAUCUCUGGAAAAAAGUUUAAGAAAAAAAAGUAUACUUGCAUUAUUUACAAAUUAAAAUUUAAAAGCUGUUUGAAAACAUAGUUGAAAUUAUGUUUUUUUAAAAAUAAUUUUUUAUUUAAUUAUUUUUCUAAUAAAAAAUUUGAAUGUGGUGAAAAUAUAAAAAUUAACUUUUUUAUAUUAUUAAAUUGUUUUGAUGUGAUGAUGUGAAAAAUAAUUUUUUAAUAAUAAAAUUUUAUUAUUUUAAUAUAUUUUCAAACAAAAAAUAUUUUAAAAAAUAAUUAUUAACAUAAUCACAAAUAUGAAAUUUUCUUGCUUACUUUCGAAUCCAAAAUCUUGACCUUCAAUGAAAAUCAUGUCUCAAAAUUUUUUAUCAUGGUUCCUUGCUGAAAAUGCACAGGAUAUCAACAAACCUUCAAUGCACAUAAAUGUAGGAGAGAUAAUGUUUUCACUAUUUCAACUUAAAUCUACAAGACAUGGGCAGUACGAUGAUCAGAAUACGACUAUGUAUUAGCAUUAUUUUUCUACUCGGUCUCUUUCCACGAAAAUCAGGGAGAAUAGAAUAGAAUUAACUGCUGGCCUUCUUAAUUCCCAAAAUCCACUAUUGGUGAUUUGUAAGCCUUUUUCUUAAUCACAACGCGUGAAAGACCAGACGAUCUUGACUUGGAACGAGUCCAUGGGAAUUGAUGCCAUGCACUUUAUUAAUAAAUUUAGCAUUAUCAUUGAAGUGAAGCAUUAGACACAAACAUGGCGUCCAUUGUUUAUGAGCCAAAACUUCUUGCAAUUUUAAGCAUCUCAUUUUUCUUGUCCUGUAUUUUUGUAUCUGUGGCUGCACGUGAUGACUCGGCCUUGCUAGCAUCAGAAGGCAAGGCUUUGCUUGAGAGUGGAUGGUGGAGUGACUACAGCAACCUCACCUCACAUCGUUGCAACUGGACUGGCAUACUCUGUGAUCGGGCUGGAAGCAUCACUGAGAUUUCCCCACCUUAUCUAGUGGGAAAUAAGUUUGGAAAGAUGAACUUUUCUUGCUUCUCAAACCUUGCCCGUCUCGACCUGGCCAACCAUGAGCUCAGUGGGAGCAUCCCGCCUCAAAUUUCUAUCCUUCCUCAACUCAGAUACCUCAACCUGUCCUCAAAUAAUCUAGCAGGUGAGUUACCGUCUUCACUUGGAAAUCUCAGCCGAUUGGUUGAGCUUGAUUUUUCUUCCAAUUAUCUCAACUAUUCCAUCCCUCCAGAACUAGGCAAUCUUAAAAAUCUUGUUACUUUGAACUUGUCUUAUAACAGCUUCAGCGGCCCAAACCCUUCGGCACUUUGUCAUUUGGACAAUCUAACGCAUUUAUUUAUGGAUCAUAAUAGUCUCGAAAGUGCCCUCCCUAGAGAAAUAGGGAACAUGAGAAAUCUAGAGAGUUUGGACGUGAGUUAUAAUACACUUAAUGGUCCAAUCCCUCGAACAUUGGGUAGGUUAGCCAAGUUGAGGUCUUUGAUCAUUCGUUAUGCCAAAAUCAGUGGAUCCAUUCCUUUGGAAAUAGGAAAUUUGACCAACCUUGAAGAGUUAGACCUCUCUCACAACCAAAUCAACGGAUCCAUCCCUUUGGAAAUACAAAACUUGACAAAUUUCUUUUUAUCCAAUUUGAUUCUUCUAGAUCUUUCAUACAACCAAAUCACCGGUUUGAUUCCUUUUUCAUUAGGCAAUUUAACAAACUUGGCAAGGCUAGACCUCUCUCACAACCAAAUCAACGGAUCCAUCAUUGUAGAAAUACAGAACUUGACAAAUUUGGAGGAAUUAUAUUUGAAUUCAAACAAUAUCAGUGGUUCAAUUCCUUCAACUUUGAGCCUUUUAUCUAAUUUGAUUCUUCUAGAUCUUUCCUACAACCAAAUCACCGGUUUGAUUCCUUUUUCAUUAGGCAAUUUAACAAACUUGGCAAGGCUAAACCUCUCUCACAACCAAAUCAACGGAUCCAUCCUUGUAGAAAUACAGAACUUGACAAAUUUAGAGGAAUUAUAUUUGAAUUCAAACAAUAUCAGUGGUUCGAUUCCUUCAACUUUGAGCCUUUUAUCCAAUUUGAUUUUUCUAGAUCUUUCCUCCAACCAAAUCACCGGUUUGAUUCCUUUUUCAUUAGGCAAUUUAACAAACUUGGCAAGGCUAAACCUCUCUCACAACCAAAUCAACGGAUCCAUCCUUGUAGAAAUACAGAACUUGACAAAUUUGGAGGAAUUAUAUUUGAAUUCAAACAAUAUCAGUGGUUCGAUUCCUUCAACUUUGAGCCUUUUAUCCAAUUUGAUUUUUCUAGAUCUUUCCUACAACCAAAUCACCGGUUUGAUUCCUUUUUCAUUAGGCAAUUUAACAAACUUGACAACUCUAUACUUCUCUCACAACCAAAUCAACGGAUCCAUCCCUUCAUCUUUGAAGUAUUGUAAUAAUUUGUUCUCCCUAGAUUUAAGCUUCAAUAAUUUAAGUGAAGAGAUACCCUCCGAACUAUAUGGUUUGACCUAUUUAAAAUAUGUGAAUUUUCGUUACAAUAACCUCUCAGGCUCUGUUUCCUUCCAUUGGCUACAACUCUUUCAUGUGUAUUUCACCUGUGAUUCUCUUCAUAGCCAAAGAACCAACAAUCCUGAAAUUUUUCAAGAUACUGCAUUUGAGGGCAAUAAAGAUUUACACCCUGAUUUCUCACGUUGUCUAUCUAUUUACUCCCCACCUUCACAAACCUACUUGUUACCUUCAAAAGACAACAUAAGGAUUCAUUCCAUCAAGAUAUUUCUUCCUAUCACCACCAUUUCACUUUGUCUCUUGUGCCUCGGAUGUUGUUAUCUGUCUCGACGCAAGGCUACCCAACCCGAGCCAGCAUCAUCAAAGAAUGGAGACUUGUUUUCCAUAUGGAAUUAUGAUGGGACGAUUGCAUACGAAGACAUCAUUGCAGCGACCAAGAACUUUGACCUCAGAUACUGUAUCGGAACCGGUGGUUAUGGGAGCGUCUACCGAGCACAACUUCCAAGUGGGAAAUUAGUUGCCUUGAAGAAACUUCAUCGUCGAGAGGCAGAGGAGCCGGCUUUUGACAAGAGUUUCAAAAAUGAGGUGGAAGUGCUCACACAAAUACGUCACAGGAGCAUUGUAAAGCUUUAUGGAUUUUGUUUGCACCAGCGCUGCAUGUUUCUUGUUUACGAGUACAUGGAAAAGGGAAGCUUGUUUUGUGCCUUGAGAAAUGAUGUUGGAGCUGUGGAAUUGAAAUGGAUGAAAAGAGCAGGCAUCAUCAAAGACAUUGCUCACGCAUUAUCUUACUUGCAUCAUGACUGCAACCCGCCAAUUGUUCAUCGAGACAUAUCAAGCAGCAAUGUUCUGUUGAAUUCAGAAUCCAAGUCUUUUGUUGCUGAUUUUGGCGUGGCUAGACUUCUCGAUCCUGAUUCGUCCAACCAUACUGUACUUGCUGGUACCUAUGGAUACAUUGCCCCAGGUAAAAAUAUUUCUUCUUAACAUGCAUAUUUACCACUCAUGCACUGUAAAACUAAAGCAAACUCUCUUUUAAAUAUAUAUAUUAAUUUCGUUUUGUAUAUGGACAGAGUUUGCUUAUACUAUGGUGGUGACAGAGAAAUGUGAUGUGUACAGCUUCGGAGUUGUGGCGCUUGAAACUUUGAUGGGUAGGCAUCCGGGAGAUGUCCUAUCAUCAUCUGCUCAGGCUAUUACAUUGAAAGAAGUGUUAGAUCCUCGUUUGCCACCUCCAACAAAUGAGAUUGUCAUACAGAAUAUAUGUACCAUUGCAAGUCUCAUAUUUUCUUGCUUACAUUUAAAUCCAAAAUAUCGACCUUCAAUGAAAUUCGUGUCUCAAGAAUUUCUAUCUCCCAAGAGAUUAUUGGGAGGUCUCGAGAUUUCUUUGUUGGAGCUGCGAAAUCUUGGCUGGCACACAAAUGUAGGUGAGAUCACACUUCCUCGCUGAAAAAGUCAACUUCGAUCUUGCAUGGAACUUCAACGAGAGCCUCCAAGAGCAUGCCUUUAUAGUAUUAACUAUAGCUUUAAAGGUGUUGGAAAAUAAACUGAUCAUCUCUUUUUUCAACAUGGGAGGAUUAACUUGUGCAGCUACCUCACUCCAUCUUCGGGCAUAUUCUCUUAUGGACUCCUUGUUGUUCUUCAUAGCUUGCAAGCUUAACCGAUCAGGGCCCACGUCUAUAUUAAACUUAUAUUGCCUCAUGAAGGCAUCAACUAAGUCCUUCCAUUUUUUAACCUUGGUAUUGUCCAUCCGCAUAUACCAAGUGAGGGCAGCGUCACUCAAGUUGUCUUGGAAGAAAUGAAUCAGCAGUUUCUCAUCAUCAACCACCUCGACCAUUUUGUUGCAGUAUGCUUUAAUAUGAGUUAUAGGGCAUUGAGUUCCCAUAUAUUUGACAAAUUCUGGCACUCUAAACUUUUUAGGAAUGACAAUGUUGGGCACCAAACACAUCUCAGCAGCCUUUAUAGGAUCAUAUAGGCGAAUUCCCUCUAAUGCUCUCAAUCUUUGCUCUAGGGCAACUAAUUUGUUCAUACCAUCUUCUUUUACCCUCUUGCCCGUUAGAGAUUCCUUCUCUGUAGAAUCAAUGGUAAACGCCAUUCUUGUGGGGUAUGCUGGUUGAAAACGCAUGGCUUGUUGAAAAUCAAAUGACAACCCAUUUGCACCCAAAUUAUGUGGAUUGAAGGGAUUUACGAGCAUAGGUUUAGGUUGAGCUAUAAGUGUUGCUUUUCUGGAUUUAUCUCUCAAGGCCUGCUCGAGUAGACUAGUAAGCCUUGUGACUUCUUCCUUAAGAUUGUCCACCUCUUUUUGAUGUUGGGUUUCCAACUGGGCUCUUUCUUCAUUUUUCGAGUGUUAUAGAUGGGUUUCAAUGGGGAACUUAUAUUUCAACCUGCUAAAUGUAAAUCAUGCAAUUAUGCAAGAAUGCUGAAGCAAUUAAAAAAAUACGUAUGAAAUGCGGACUUGCCCUACACGGGAUGACAAAAUAGGAAGAUCCUAAUUGUUGAGUGCAUCAAAGGGUUGGUCAUUAUCUAGUUUUAAAGGGUCUCUCGCAUGCUCAGUGAUCGUCCAUGAAAGGUCGAUAUGAGGCUUACAAGUAGUGUGAAAAUAGAGGCCCUGAGUAAUAUCAGUUUGGCAUAUCAACCACUUCCAAGUAAACAAUCAAGCGAGAGUUGGAUGGUUUCACGAGUCUUACCCAGGCUAAAGCCAUUGGGGUACCGUUACUUCCCCACUUAUCUUAGGAUGUAAAGUGUGUGCUCUUAACGUGAUGCAUGACAAUAUAAACAAGGAUGCAUGCUAAAGCACUAAAUGCAAGAAAAAUAAACAAAUAAACACAACAAAACAAAUAUUAUAGCAAUUGACAAACAAAAGGCAAAGCUUAGUCCAUUAGUCCCCAGUGGAGUCGCCAUUCUGUCACACCCGACAUCGCGGCGACCCUAAAAAUAAUCCUAGAUUAUUUUUAAAGAACAAAUUUCUGGCAUCUUGUUCUUUUCGGAAAAAUGUUUAAUUAAGGAGUAGCCACCUAGUAUUAUGGUCACUAGGAACCCUAACUGGUCAACAGAGAUUCUUUGGUACGGGACUGGUUACGAAAAAGAGAAGAUAUUAUCACCCCUUAAACGUUCUGCCUAAGGCAGACUGCAUUGCUGGUUUUAUCUUAAAUUGCUAAACAUUUAUUCAUUUAUGCUAUGAUGAUUUGUUUAUAAUAUUACUGACUCUGGCGCCAGUGAAUAUUCGAUCUCGAAUAAUUCCAACUCUGGCGUUGGUAAAAAUUCCACCACGAAUAAUUCCAACUCUGGCGUUGGUAAAAAUUCGUAGCCACAAAAAAAUCAGUAUAUUUUCUUUUUCUUCUUCUUUUUUUCCUGAUCCUGAUAUCAGUAAAUAAGUUGACAAAAAUAAAUUUUUUCUAAGACAUGUAAAAUUUUUUAUUUCUAUACUUUCUAUUUUUUUUAAUUUUUUAAUUUAUAUUUGUGUUGGGUCCAGUGACCGGGUUUUACGUUCAACUACAGAAAUAAGAAAGAAUUGAAUUAUAAUUCACUGUAGCAAGUGAAUUAUAAUUCACAGCUACUGUAGCUGUGAAUUAUAAUGCAAAGGAGAGAAGGAAAUACUUACCUGGUUCUGUGCUGCCGGAGGCGAAGAUGAAGAUCCCGCUCGUCGUUCCCCCUCUGUCUUCUCCCUUUUUCUCUUCUGUUUUGGUUUUCCUUGCUCGUUCCUCUACCCCUCUCUGGUUUUCUCGUUCAAAAUCCCCUGCGUAUUCUGCCUCCUUCCUUCUCUUCUUUUUUUCGUCUAUCUUCAUCCCCCAUGUCGUGCAUGGCUUUUUCUUCCCUCGGUUCUGCUCUUUUUCUCUGGUUUUUCGUCAUCUGUCUCUGGUUCUCUCUCUUUUCAGUCUCCUGUGUUCUUCUCUUUUCUUUUUAUUCUGUUCGUUCGUCUCCUCUCUGGUGCUGGAGAUGGUUAAGGCAAUGGUCCCAUCCCUGUAUAGUCUCUGUCUCUCCUGCUUGCGGCCCGUUUGCGUUUCCAGGUCUCCCCGGUUUCCUCCGUUCCUCCUUGUUCGUCUCUGCUUUUUUUUUUCUUUAUUUGGUCUCGGUCUCUCCUGCUCUCAGUUUUCCCCAGGUUUUAGUCUCUCUCCCUGCCGUGCAUGGCUUUUUCUUCUCCCCUCAGCCCCUUGGUUCCGCCUCCUAGUUCUUUUCCCCGGUUUUUUCCAGUUUUUCCCCCCAGUUUUUUUUUUCUUUUUCCCUUUUGUUCUCCUCGGUUCUGCCUUUUCUCCCCUGCUUCUCCCGCUCGUCUAUCAAUCUCUGCGUCUUCCCUAGUCAAGUCGAUGGGGGUUCUUCUCCUGUCUGGGUUCCUGGAGGCUGAAGAGUUGCUGAAGAUGGCGCAGUGAUGGUUAAAACUGCUUCCGUGUCUCUUUUUUCUUUUCCCUAGCCCCCUUGUUCGUUCGUCCCCUCUGUUUCUUUGAGAAGAAACCAGGGGCUCAACGUCUGCUCCUUUUCUUUUCCUUUCGUUCGUGGCUCCCUUUUUUUUUUUUUUUUUUCUUUUUCUCUCUUCUCAGCCCCUUGGUUCCUUUCUUCCAGCCGUUUUUUUCUGGUUUUAUCCUCUCUUCGAAUGCCAUGCGGUCUCAUGCUCUCUGUUUUAAUGCAGGAGUAAAGGCAGCAGUUUUCUCUUUUUCGGGUGAAGAAGAUGAACAGUGUUAAGGUUAUUUUUCAUUUUGGUCCUUGAUGUUUUGAAAGUUUUGUAAUCAAGCCCUUGGUUAAAACAUAAUUGGGUCCUUGCUUUUCUGUGCCAUUUUCAAGUUGGUCCUUGGAUUUUAAUUUUUGCAAUUUGGACCCCAAUUAAACCCCAAACUUUGAUAUUUCUUCAAUUAAGUCCCUGAUUGGAUUCAUUAAAUUAAUUUCAAGCGUAAUUAAAUCUCAAAACUUAUCAAUUCUCCAAUUCAACCCUUGAUUGGAGUAAUUAAAUUAAUUUCGAGCUUAAUUAAGUCCCAAAACUUAUCAAUUUUCCAAUUAAAACCUUGAUUGGAUUAAUUAAAUUAAUUUCAAGCUCGAUUAAGUCUCAAAACUUCCAAUCAUGUUGCCCUUAACCCAAAUUUUAAUUCAUUCUUCAUUUAUUUUAUUUUUACUUGUUUUCAUCAUUUUUUUCAUCAUUUUUUCAAUAAUUAAAAUAAAAUGGACAAAAAUUGGGUUAUGACAAUGUGCAUAAGGCAAAGAUGCACUGCCUAUUUAUAGGCAAGCUUCCUUGCCUUAGUCAUCUUGUAGCACCAAAUUGGUGCCUACAAUAUUGACUUGGUUGGCACCAAUUCGGUGCCUACAAUCUUUGACUUAGCUGGCACCAAUUGGUGCCAGCUAGCUUCUAACUUCACAUUCUCCCACUUGAAAACUUAGAUGAUUUAAUCAAGUCUUCACACAUGAUCAUCUAUGAUUCUUCUAUCCUUUCAAUACUUGCCAUCUUCAUGUUGCUUACGUGUCUGCUAGGCCACAAGAGGAUCUGCACCAUAUAUACUUAUUAGUGUUGACUGGUUUGGUCAAAGCAUCUGUUGGGUUUUCCUUUGUGUGAACCUUCUGAAAAUCCACACUUCCAUCUUCCACCACUUCGCGAACAAAGUGAUACUGAACAUCUAUAUGUUUUGUUCUUGAAUGAAACGCUGGAUUCCUUGCAAUAUGCAAGGCACUCUGACUAUCACAAUACAAAAGAAUCUUCUCUUGUUUGUGCCCGAGCUCCUCCAUAAGUUUCUUCAGCCAUAUUGCUUCUUUACAAGCCUGUGUAGCUGCCAUAUACUCAGCUUCUGUUGUGGAUAACGCUACAACAGUCUGAAGUUUAGAGACCCAGCUCACAGCUCCUCCUGCAAUUAUGAACACAUAGCCUGUAGUGGAUUUUCUUUUCUCAAGGUCACCAGCAAAAUCUGAGUCAACAUAACCUCUGAUAGUAAAUUCUGAUCCUCCAUAACAUAAUGCGGCAUCUGAGGUACCCUUGAUGUAUCUCAAGAUCCUCUUAAUAGUAUUCCAAUGCUCUCUACCAGGAUUUGCCAUGUAUCGACUAGCUGCUCCCACUGCUUGUGCAAUGUCUGGUCUUGUACAUAUCAUGGCAAACAUUAAACUUCCCACUGCUGAUGCAUACGGUACUCGAGACAUCUCCAUCCUCUCUGCUUCAUUGCUAGGAGACAUACUUGAGGAUAAUUUGAAGUUAAUAGGAAGUGGGGUGGAAAUUGGCUUACAAUCUUGCAUGUUGAAGCGUCGCAAGAUUUUCUUCAAAUAAUUCUUCUGAGAAAGCCAAAUCUUCCUCUUACUUCUGUCUCGGUGAAUUUGCAUCCCUAGAAUCUUGUUUGCUGGUCCCAAGUCCUUCAUAUCAAACUCCCUAGCCAACUGUGCCUUCAAUUCUUGGACUCGAUCUUUGUUGGGGCCUAUUACCAACAUGUCAUCCACGUACAACAACAGAAUGAUGAAAACAUCAUUUUCUUCAAACCUCUUGUAAUACGUACAAUGGUCUGAACUGAGUCUGUUGUACCCAAGGCUAAUUAUGAAGGAAUCAAAUCUCUUGUACCAACACCUCGGCGCCUGUUUGAGACCGUAUAGAGAUUUGUUCAACCUGCAAACCAAGUUCUCCUUGCCUGUUUCAGCAAAACCCUCUGGUUGGAGCAUAUAAAUUUCUUCUUCAAGUUCUCCAUGAAGAAAUGCAGUUUUCACAUCUAACUGCUCUAAGUGAAGAUCAAAUAUAGCACACAUUGCCAAGACUACUCUGAUUGUAGUAAGUCGUACCACCGGAGAAAAUAUCUCAUUGAAGUCUAUUCCUUCUUUCUGAGCAUAUCCUUUCACCACCAAUCUUGCACGAUACCGCUCCACUUGAUCAUUGCCAUCACGCUUUAUCUUGUAAACCCAUUUGUUGCCAAUGGCCUUUCUUCCUUGUGGUAGCGGAACAAGAUCCCAAGUGUUAUUCUUGUGCAGAGCUUCAAUCUCCUCUUGCAUUGCUGUCAUCCACAUAGAUACAUCUGUGCUUUUGAUAGCCUCAUGGAAAGUUGAUGGCUCUCCAUCCUCUGUUAGAAGACAGUAUGCAAUUGCUCUCAGUAACAUAUUCUGAGUGCCAAGCCGGUGGUCUUCUUUCACGAGUUGACCGUCGAACUUCAGGAGUUUCAGACUCUAUUUGUUCUUGUUCUUCAUGCUCUGGUGCAGCUUCAGAAGAAGUAUUCUGAGUAUUUUCCAUCUGGACUUCUGUAGUCUCCUUUAAAAUGCUAUUAUUUUCUUCCAUUUGCAUUUUAUCUUCUGCAAAUAUGACAUCUCUGCUGAUGACUACCUUGUGGGCAGUGGGAUCCCACAAGCGAUACCCCUUCACUCCAUCAGCAUAUCCCAAGAAUACACAUUUUCUGGAUUUUGAAUCCAGCUUGCUGACUUCUUGAGUAUUGUACAUCACGUACACAGGACUUCCAAAUAUAUGCAAUCGAGAAUAAUCAGCUGGCUUUCCAGUCCACAUCUCCAUCGGUGUCUUCAACUCAAUUGCAGUUGACGGAGAUCGAUUUAUCACAUAACAGGCGGUAUUGACUGCUUCUGCCCAGAAUGACUUUUCUAGACCUGCAGCCUUCAACAUUGCUCUUGUUCUUUCCAAUAGAGUUCUGUUCAUCCGCUCUGCCACUCCAUUUUGUUGUGGAGUGUAUGCCGUUGUGAACUGCCUUUUGAUACCUUCAUGUUGACAGAAGUUAUCAAAUUCAUCACUGGUAUAUUCUCCUCCAUUGUCAGUCCUCAAACACUUGAUCUUCUUUUCAGAUUCAAGUUCUACCCGCGCUUUGAAGGUUUUAAAAACUGCGAACACAUCUGCCUUCCUUCUAAUCGGAUACACCCAACAUCUCCUGGAGAAGUCAUCUAUGAAUGAUACAAAGUAUCUUGCUCCUCCCAAGGAUACAACCGGUGCUUGCCAAACAUCAGAGUGAAUCAGGUCUAAGAUGCAUUUGCUCUUAGUUGUUGACGUGCCAAACUUCAACCUGUGUUGUUUACUUGUAACACAGUGCUCACAAAAAGGUAAAGUAACCUUUGUAAGCCCAGGGAGUAACUUCUGAUCAGAGAGAACCUUUAAACCUUUCUCUGACAUGUGGCCUAGUUUUUGAUGCCACAUCAUCGUCUUCUCUUCUGCAGGACUGGCUGAUGCGAUUGAUGCUUCUGCCCCCUGAUGUGUUUCUCCCAUUAAUACAAACAUGUUUGCAACUGUCUUUCUUGCCUUUAAAACCACCAGCGCGCCUUUGACAAUUUUCAUGAUUCCAUUGUCUGUUCGGAUCUUACAGCCAAGACUAUCAAAUUGUCCUACGGACAAAAGAUUCUUCUUUAAGUCUUUCACAUGUCGCACUCCUGAAAUAGUACGAAUUAAGCCAUCAUACAUCUUCAAUUUGAUGGUGCCAAUGCCAGAAAUCUCUACAGCAUGAUUAUCACCCAUGAACACUGUGCCUCCAGAGAUAGGUUCAUAUGUAUGGAACCAAUCUCGUCUAGGGGUCAUAUGCCAUGUUGCUCCUGAAUCCAUUAGCCAGACCUCAGUGAGCUCUUCUCUAUCUGUAGAGAUUGUUGCUGCUUCACUAUAUAAAAUCUCCCCAUCUUCUGAGGUGCUUGCAACACAUCCUUGAGGUUUGAUGACUCUGCAGUAUUCUCUAUACCCUUUUUAAACCAACAAUCCUUUUUGAAGUGCCCUUUUCUGCCACAGUUGUAGCAUUUCACAACUUCUUACUUCUUGAUUUGGACCUCCCCUGCCUUUGACUCCCACUGAGCCACGUUCCGUUGAUCUUCCUCUUGACACAAUGCCUCUGCUUGGUUUGAACUGUUUCUGUCUCCUUUGUUUUUGCGCCUAUUUUCUUCUUCCAAGAUAGCGGCUGCAACAUCAUCGAAGACUAAAUAGUCUGAGAGGAUAUUAUUGGUCAAGUUGAUAAUGAGCUGAUCAUACGAAUCAGGAAGACUUUGAAGUAGAAGCUCUGCACGUUCAUUUUCCUCUAUUUGUUGACCCAACGUAGUGAGUUGUGAAAAUAGAGUUCUUAUUGUGUUGAUGUGGUCAGUCACCGACGUGGUUUCUGCCAUUCGAAGGGUAUAAAGUCUCCGCUUUAAGAAAAUCUUAUGUGCAAAGACUUGGACUCGUAUAGCUUUGUUAGAGUCUCCCAUAUCUCCUUAGCUGUUUUCUUCUCCGCCACACUUGAUAAUACUUCAUCAGCUAAUGCUAAAUGUAUGUUAGCAAUAGCAUUGCCAUCCAUCUCAUUCCAUUUUGCAUUAUCAGUGAUCUCCGCGGGCCGAUCCCCAAUUGCUGCCAAGCAAUUGUCUUUCCUCAAGAUUGCCUUGAUUCUCAUUUUCCACAGUGAGAAAUUGCUCCCCUUGAACCUCUCAAUCUCGUACUUUGCUGCCAUUGUAUUCACCGAGAUCUAUUCAGCUAUCACCGUUUCACAGAUCUGUAACGUAUAUAGAAAUAGUAUCGUGUGAAUAAUACUUCACUAAGUAAGUUCCCAAGAAAGAUUGGAGGGGUCACAAACGGUCCCGCUUAAAACCCAAUCUCCUUAGACAAAACUUCCUAGACUGUAUUUAAUCACCGCACUGACUUUCUAUAUACGCCAACAGUAACGUAAGUGAACAGUACCGUAUGGAUGAAUAGUGCCGUAGACGUGAAUAGUAACCGUAUACACGAAUAACUUUUGUGUGUUAACAACACCAACCAAGAAGGCUCUGAUACCACUGUUAGGAUACUGGCAUGCAAACCCGACAAGAUAAAAGGUAAGGGACAAGAUAAAAUGAGAAAUGACACACAAGAAUUUACGUGGUUCACCCAAUUAGGCUACGUCCACGGGCAAGUAUAGAAGGAUUUUACUAAGUAAUGUGGGAAUUACAACCUCUCUCAAAUAAUAGGAGAACAACUAAAAAUCUCUCUAUUACUAGGAGAAAACACCUCACUUACUCUCUCACAAAUACCUCACAACUUUGUGGGAUUAUUUUCCCUCUUCACUCUCUCUUCUUUCUCUCUUUCUUCUUUGUGAUGUGCAUAAGGCAAGGAUGCACUGCCUAUUUAUAAGCAAGCUUCCUUGCCUCAUUCAUCUUGUAGCACCGAAUUGGUGCCUACAAUAUUGACUUGGCUGGCACCAAUUCGGUGCCUACAAUCUUUGACGUAGCUGGCACCAAUUGGUGCCAGCUAGCUUCUAGCUUCUUCUAGCUUCACAGAUCAAACUCCCAAAAAGAGUUCUGGCAAUUGGAGUUCUUUCUAGCAACAAUCUGGGUUUCCCCUCCGUCUUUCUCUCUUUCAAUUUUUUUUCACGGUUGCCAAUUUUUGUAUGUGCUGUAUAGAUUGUGUUGAAAUGCUGCAUUGUUGUAAAGUUAUUCAUCAUGGCCCUGCUUCAUUUUUAUUUUGCUGAGGUAAAAAAACUUAUGUUUGGGGGCAUAAAGAUGGAAUGCUUGUUCUUUUGAGUGGCAAAUUCUUGAGACCAAUAAAAACUGAGUAGUUUGAGAAAACAAUGCUCUUGGCAUUCCAUCAACUCACAUUGCUCAGAUUGCAUUUUAUUUGAAGUUGCCUGCUUCAUUAUGACUGUUGGCAUUCCCGAUCUUCAUUUUUUUAAUUUUUUGUGCUACGAGUUGCUUAUUAAGUUUAAAAAUAUAGUUGUGGUUGUUUUUUAAAGUAUAUUUUAUUUGAAAAUAUAUUAAAUUAAUUUUUUUUAAUUUUUAAAAAUUAUUUUUAACAUUAAUACAUUAAAAUGGUUUAAAAUCACUAAAAAAAUAUUAAUUUUUUAACAAAAAAACUUUCAAUUUUUUUUUCAAAAAUAUUGUUGAAAUGCAUAAAACAAACCCGGUCAUAAGCUACGUAGUAAACACUGGUCUUGGAGGCGUGACCUUCUUUAAGGGUUUUGAGUCUUUUGACCACACACUUCCUGGUUAUUUCUAUCAUCCAGAUGAGCUCGGCUACUAGGCUAUGUCUGAAUGAAAUUAUGGGCUCGUUAGCUGGGCCUUUUCCAUAUCGGCAAGUUGGGGAUUCUUAUUGACUUUUGCAUGUUGGAUUUGGCUCCAAUUUGAUGUAUUUUUUUUUUUUAGUAGUAUUUGGUGAAUCUAUUUUAUCUAUAAACUAGUUAGGUAACCGUGCUACACCAUAGAUUUACCUUUUAUUUUAUAAAAAAAUUAGGUUCUAUAAAUUAGAGGAUCAAAGUCUAUUUUGGGUCUUGUACAACUAAUGAUCCAAUACUAUUUUGGGUACUUCAUAGCAUAGUUGGGUCUUUGCGCAGCCCCAACGCUACUUGUGCGCUUGGUCUGGCAGCACAAAAGUAGGCAGCCCAAAAAUAACGUGUUCCCAUGUGGUUUUUCUUCAACAGUAACAAUAGUUUUUUAAAAUUUAUUAAUGAUGAUGAUUAUGAUAAUAGUAUAAAAAUAAUAAUAUUUAUAGCACAAAAGAUAAUAUUUUUAAUAUUAAUACUUUUGAUUAUAGUAAAAAUAAUAAUAUUCAUAACCCAAAUAAUAGUAUUUUUAAUUCUAAGAAUAUUUAGAACACAAAUAAUAAUAUUUUUUAUAUGAAUACUUUGUAUUAGAAGAAAAAUAAUAGUAUUUACAACAUAGAUUAUAAUAUUUUUUAUAUUAAUACUUAGAAUUGUUGAAUAUUUUUAAUAAUACUAAGCUGUGGACUCACUUUUUAUUUUUAUAAAAAAUAUCAUAAAAAAUUAUAAUUUAAAUAAUAAUAUGUUUUCAAUAAUAAUAAUAAUAAUAAUAUUUUAUUUCAAAUUUAUUAAUUAUUUUAUUAAUAAUACUAAUUAUAAUAAAAAUAAUAAUAUUUACAAUACAAAUUAUAGUUUUAAAACCCGACUCAGUAAUCGACCCGAUAUAAUAAUCAAGUCACGGGUCAUAUAGGUUGACCCGAGUUAACCCGGGUCAACAAAAAAAAUAUAUUUCCCGUGAAAUUUUCAUUAAUGGUCAGAGCGUGAUUUACUUUUCUAAAUAGUUAUUUUACCAAACAUGAAGCACUGUAAAAGUUGUCUUGAUUUGGCUCUCUUUGGUUCUUUUACUCUCAGGAUCAUGCCUCCCUCUUAUCACUGUCCUUAAAAUCUCACACAGCACCCCACCCCACUAUAUUGAGAAAUUCUCUCUACAUUGAAAAGCUGCAUAAAUUGUCUUGCUCGCCCUUUCCUCUCUUUGCCCCCUCUUUUUAAUUACUCCACUCUUGCAAUCAACAUAAACUAUCCAUGUUCAAUGUUUUCCCAGGAAAAGAAGAAGAAGAAAGUUGUGUCAUAGAAGGAAUCCUAGUUAUUGAUCUCUCUGUUUCCACUAGAGAAAUAAGUAACAGAAACUUCAUCUAACCUUGAUUUGCAGAUCUGAACUAAAGAGAGCCAAAAAAAAAAAAAAAAACACCCUGCAAAAACAGAUUUAGUGUUUGCUGAGGGCCAAAAGAGAGACGGGGACAAAAUAUGGCAAGACUUGCCUUGAAGUCUUUUGCAUGUGGCUUAAUUUUGUCUGCUCUUCUUUGCAACUGAUAUGGCUUCAAAGAUUGAAGAGAUUGGGUUUAUUUUGUCUUUGUGUUGCAGAUGGUUUGAUUAAUUGAUAGUAAAAAGCUAAAGCGAACAACGACUUUACUUAUAUAUAUAAAACAACCGGGUCUUUCCCGGGUCGAUCGGGUUGUCGGGCCAAUUCCCUUGCUGGUUUGUUCAUCAACCCAGUCUGGUUCCAAUUCUGGGUCAGCCGGGUCUCGGGUUGACCCGCCGGGCCGGGUUUUAAAACUAUGAUACAAAUAAUUAUAUUUAAAAUCCUAGGACCUAGGAACCUUGGGUCUUGAUGAAUAACCCAAUAGAAUUGGGUCCUUAUGCAAGGCCAAUUGAGCUUGGGUCUUGACGCCGGACCCAUUCCUCUUGGGCGGGUGCCGGUCUGGCUCAUGCUACCGCGAGCCAGCCUAAGCGCCACAUGUGUGCUUGGUCAACCCAGCACACAGGCAGACAACCCAAGCGCCCAAGGGUGGGCAAACCGAGCACCAGGUGGCUACAGCCUGGGGGGCGACCAACAGACGUUGCAUGCCCAGUGCCCAGGCUUGGCAGCCAAGUGCCAGGUGUCCACAGCCCCAGUAGGUGCGCCUCCAUCCUGACACUUGCGGCUUGCUGGCUGCAGCCUCACACAUGCCCCUACCAAACAGUGCAGUGCAGUGAAAGCACUCACCGUCUAUAAUACUUCGUGCUAUAGUAUGUGAUAGUAUAAUUCAUAGUAAAUUCACUUACAGUGCAUAAUAACUUGUGUUAUAGUAAAACACUUAUCAGUUUUAGUAAAAAGAUAGCUAUUCCUGGAAUAAUAAAGGAAUGUUGAAGCUGAUUCGGCUUUUUCCGAGGAAAAGGAAAAAGAUCAUUCCUUCUGUAUUUUGGAAUGCUAGAUAUAGGUAUAGUGCUCGUAUUGUUUUCUUCAAGUUUACUGCCCCACAUAAUUCCUGCUUCUUUAUUUUACUUUCCCCGAAGAAGUUUAUAUAUGGGCAUGGUGCUCAUCAAAUGCAAUAGAUUUUGGAAAUUUAAACAACAGUAUUUUCUGACAUUACCAGAGGGCUACGGUGCUUGUGCUGGAGUUUACUGCCCCACCUAUCAAAUUGCAAAGAAAAGUCACUACAAAAGAGCAUCAUCAAUAUUCCAAAAAAGAUGGUCCUUCCAUAAUCAUCGAGUUAAUCCAACACUGACAUUAAUUGUGUUUUCUUGUAGAAACAGAAAUGGGCCUUCUUCUUAUUACCAUAGGCAUGCUAAUGUGGCUGAUAUUUUUCCAGGACAUUAAACCAUGUCUGGUUGCCCUCCCAAUACUGACAAUCUUGACUCAAACUACCCAACCAUGAGCUCAGUGGUUAAACUGCCUGCUCUGGAAUGAAUGGAACCACUGAUAUUGUUUGAACUAAGAUCUAAUGUUUCCAAUUUUGCCAAGUUCCAUAUUUCUAAAGGGAUGGAUCCGUUGAUUUAAUUGGUUGUAAGAGAGGUAUAGAAAUGCCAAGUUUCUUAAAUUGUCUAAUGAAAAAGGAAUAGAACCAGUGAUGUAGAGAAAGUCCAUACAAAUUCUUCAAAUUCCCAAUUUCUGAAGGGAUCGAACCUGUAAUCUUGAAAGACUGAUGUGGUUGUGGUGUAGAGAAGUCCAAAACCGGUGUUUAUUGUCUAGCUUACACUGUUAAGCAAUUCAUAGCACCAAAAAUUAAGAACUGAAGAAAUGCAAUGCCAACUGUCAGCGUCAAAUAAAAUGGAACUUGAACAGUGUGAGUUGAUGGGUGAAAAUGAGAACAUGAAAUUUCACCACCAUUGUUUUCUCGUACUUCUCAGUUUGUUUUUAUUGGUCUCAACAAUCUGUCACUCAAAAGAACAGGCAUUCUAUUUUUGAUCACGAACAGUGGCAUUUGAAAACUAAGAAGGCCAGGCAGUCAAUCCAUCCUUUCAUGGAAAGAGACCGUGUAGAAAAUAAUCGCUCGCGUCUUGGAGACGAUGUUUGCGUCUAAUGCUUGCCUGCGAAAUUUAUGAAUGAAUUAAGUGCAUGCCUUUUUCAUGGACUCAUUCCACGUCUUGUAGGCCCUUUGUUUCAUAAACAGGGUAGAUAAUUGGCAAACUGGCACUCCCAUGGGCAGCUGCUGGAAAGAAGAAGAGAAGCCACCAUUUACCUAUAAAUGAGCACUACGAAAAAGAGCAAAAUAAGUGAGUGUGAGCAUGUGAAGGGAAUAGAAAGAAAGAGAGAGUUGUAAUGGCAGCAGCCAUUGCAGCAGCUGCAAGGGCAGCAAGAGAGAUGGGAGUUGAGUGAUGAGAUCCUCCUCCAUGUAUUUAUUGUAUUCUUUUUCUAUCUCUAAUAAAAUGGACUCUCUCCCGUGGAUGUAGGCGGUUUUGCCGAACCACGUAAAAUAUUGUGUUUCAGUGUGAUUGCCCUCCGUUAAGCAAUUAUCAGUACAUCACCGGUCGGAUUCCCCAACAUUAAGUGCUUGCCUUUUUCAUGGACUCAUUCCACGUCUUGUAGGCCCUUUGUUUCAUAAAUAGAGUAGAUGAUAAUCCGGUUGCUUCCAAGAACAUGCAAUUGGCAAACUUUUCUUGAAGUAGUUGAGUCGAGACUGACAGUGUGUGUUUUGGUUUAAUGUCCUGGAAAAAUAUCCAGCAUGCCUAUGGUAAUAAGAAGAAGGCCCCACCCUACCCACAUACACAACCCUCCACACACACACAUACGACGACCCUAACUCCAUGAAUCUUCCUAGUUCCUUACCAUCCCCUCCUUGGGUUGACCCACCCACGUCCCCUUCGCUCGCGUCUUGGAGGCCAUGUUUGCGUCUAGUGCUUGCCUGCGAAAUUUAUGAAUGAAUUAAGUGCAUGCCUUUUUCAUGGACUCAUUCCACGUCUUGUAGGCCCUUUGUUUCAUAAAUAGAGUAGAUAAUCCGGUUGCUUCCAAGACAUGCAAUUGGCAAACUGGCCUUGAAGUAGUUGAUUCGAGACUGACAGUGUUUUGGUUUAAUGUCCUGGAAAAAUAUCCAGCAUGCCUAUGGUAAUAAGAAGAAGGCCCCACCCUACCCACAUACACAACAUUCCACACACACACAUACGACGACCCUAACUCCAUGAAUCUUCCUAGUUCCUUACCAUCCUCUCCUUGGGUUGACCCACCCACGUCCCCUUCUCUCCCCAAGACUACACAGUGCACCCAUAAAAUCCCAUAAACUUUACCCAACACCUCUACCCUCUCUCUGUAUAUAUAUUCUCAAAUCCUCAUGCACAACUGGAUGAUAGAAAUAUCCGAGGAAACGCGUGGUUAAGAGACUCAAAACCCUUAACAAAAGGUCACGUGCCUCCAAGACUAGUGUUUACUGCGUAGCUUAUAACCCGAUUUGUUUUAUGCAUUUCAACAAUAUUUUUGAAAAAAAAUUGAAAGGUUUUCCUUUCUAAUAAUAUUUUUUUAAUAGUUUUAAAUUAUUUUAAUGUAUUAAUAUAAAAAAUAAUACCUUUAGUUUUAAUCAACAAAAACACCUCAUUCUUCUCUCUCUUUCUUGCUCCUUUUUUUUUUUUUGAUAGUAAACGAGAUAAUUAUAUAUUAAAUAAGCAGCCCCAUCAAGUAAGUGGGGCUGAACGAAAGAUAGAAUACAAUGGAAAUAUGAAGAAAGAAAAGACCAAAGUGAUGAGGGACUUAAUUAGUUAGUCAAGUUCAUAAUACAUUCAGGAUUUCUAAAAAGAUCUGAGCCUGUAUAGCUGAAAUUUGUAACUGAGGACUUCAACCAGAAAGCCAAACGGUGAAAAGUGAGAUCAAAAAUCAUAUCCCAAUUAGGAGCCUUGGAUUCGAAGAUUAGGCGGUUGCGCGCUAUCCAAAUUGACCAAUACAGACCUUUACAGAGGAGGGUAAUAGCACGUCGCUGAAAUUUUCCAUUAAUCAAUCCGGACCAUUCCUGCAGAUUUUGAUUUGGGUCUUUGUGCAGACAACCUGAGCACCCGAACCAUUUCAAGAAACGACCCCAAAGAGACCAUGUUAUAGGACACCAAUGGAAAAGAUGAUUAAUUGUCUCGGUUUCCUUGCAGCAGAAUGGGCAGUGAGAUUCCUCAUAAUUAAUGAUUCUCCUCUCAGCUAAAAAACUUCUUGUACUCAAACCUCCAUGAAGAAGAAGCCAAAUGAACACAUCCACUUUUGGGGGGGGGGGGCAUAACCAUUCCAUAGCAGAGUAAUGGAGUGAUUAUUUUCAGUGGCCGAUAGACUAUCAAAGAAGAGGCGACCUGAUUGAGCUGAGUACAUGCCAGAGCUGUGGAAUUUCCAUAACUUGCAGUCUGCACCAUCUGAGAAAAGGAGACCACGCUGCACCUCUGCGAUCAAGCUCUCCCUUUGGCAGAUCUCACGAGGCUGAAGGGUUCUUCUCCAGGAAAGGUUUAAAGAUGCAUCUGUCAAAUUGUAUAUAUCUGCAAGGUUGGUGUUUUGCUGCAAGGAGAGGUUAUAAAGUCUGGGGAAUAAGAGCUGGAGAUUGGUUACAGAGCCGAGCCAAGAGUCAGUCCAAAAUCGGAUGUUCCUCCCGUCACCCACCUUGAACCCGACAUUUGCAUGUAAAAGAUUGGCUAUGUUUUGUGUUGAGAAGAUUGCCGAAACAAUGCCAUGCCAAGUUGGAGAUAAAGAACCUGCAAACUCAGGGAUACCAUUUAUAAAGUGAGGUCGGUAUUUUAGAAGAAUGUGUUCUUGCCAGCCUCCUGCCACUCCAUUGUCUAGAUUCCAUAGCCAUUUAAAGAGCAAAGCCAGAUUUUUGUUGUGGAUGGAUCCCAGCCCGAGACCACCAGAAGAUUUAUCCUUUAUUACCUUGUGUCAAGCCACCUUAAAAAGGCCAUGAGAAGUUGAGCUUCCUUUCCAAAGGAAAGACCGGGUUAGAGAAGAGAUGGCUUUAGUAACACCCUUUGGCAUAGCAAAAACUGACAUGUAAAACAGAGGAAGAGAGCUCAAGACUGAUUUAAUUAGACAUAACCUUCCCGCCAUGCUCAAAAAAUUCCCUUUCCAUGUGAGUAGCUUUGCUCUGAUAGUGGACAACACUGGUUUCCAAGUAGAGAGCCUGCUGGGAUUGGCUCCAAGAGGUAGUCCAAGGUACCUAACCGGGAAAGUAUCACUACGACAGAAGACUGAGUUCGCUAGGCUAGAGGUGUAGUCGUUGUCCAAGUUAAUACCUAUUAGUGAGCUUUUAUAGAAGUUAACUUUCAGUCCGGAAAUGAUCUCAAACCAACGUAGAAUCCUCUUGGCAUGUAGAAGAGAGGGAAAAUCAUUUGGCAAGAAAAUCAGAGAGUCGUCGGCAUAUUGCAAAUGAGUUAAGUAAUGACUUGGGGUAGUCUGUAAGCCUUUGAAGUAACCUGAAGCUGAUGCCCUAUUGAAUAAAACUGUCAAUCCCUCAACUGCAAUGUCAAAUAGGAAUGGAGAGAGUGGGUCCCCUUGCCUGAGACCCCUCUCCAAACUAAAUUCUCUACUAGGAGAACCGUUUAUCAAGAUGGCUAAUUUUGAAGUGGAUAAGCAUUUGAAUAUCAGCUUCCUCCAGUGUGAGCCAAAACCCAUGUAUCCCAUACUUGUGUCAAUAUGUUCCCAUAAAAUUGAGUCAAAGGCUUUAUGGAAAUCUACCUUCAAUAAGAGGCCAUGCUUCUUCUUGCUGCGCACACCAUGGACAACCUCAUUUGCUAUCAUGAACCCGUCUAGAAUCUGACGCCCAGCAAUAAAUGCAGACUGGUUAACACUGAUCACAUCUGUCAUGACAUGACAAAGCCUAGUUUCUUGCUCCUCUCUCUUUACAACAACAACAAAAAAGAAAUGGAUGGAAGCUGCGUAGAUGAGAAAACAACUAGUAGUGUACUGAUAACUCCAUAUCCAUCACUCCAACCUCCCUCACUCCUCCUCCACCUCCAGCUACCACAGCAAAAUCACCACCUGAGUCUCUUUGCCGUGUUUGCAGCGGCAAUGGUGUGAUUCCAUAAGAAAACUCAAUUAAUGUCAGCGUCGGUAUGUGGUCCAUUAACUCGAUGAUUUUGGAAGGACCAUCUUUCUUGGAAUAUUGAUGAUGCUCUUUUUAGUGACUUUUCUUCGCAUAUGACCACUGCAAUUUAAUAGGUGGGGCAGUAAAAACUCCAGCACAAGCACCGUAGCCCUCUAGUAAUAUCAGAUAAUACUUUUGUUUAAAUUUCCAAAAUCUAUUGCAUUUGAUGAGCACCAUGCCCAUAUAUAAACUUCUUCGGGGAAAAUAAAAUAAAGAAGCAGGAAUUAUGUGGGGCAGUAAACUCUAGUUCCUUACCAUCCCUUCCUUGGGUUGACCCACCCACGUCCCCUUCGCUCGCGUCUUGGAGGCCAUGUUUGCGUCUAGUGCUUGCCUGCGAAAUUUAUGAAUGAAUUAAGUGCAUGGCUUUUUCACGGACUCAUUCCACGUCUUGUAGGCCCUUUGUUUCAUAAAUAGAGUAGAUAAUUGGCAAACUGGCCUUGAAGUAGUUUGAGUCAAGAUCGUCACUAUUCGCCCCCCCGCGCGCGCGCACCCGACUGAUCUUGCACGUCAAUGUAGACUAUAGCCCUAGCACAAGUUGAGUCCAACCUAACCAAUCUACUGUUAUUGUAAAAAAAAAAAAAAAGCAAUCCAAUUCCCAAUUCAAUAUAUACAGAAUCUAUAAAAAUUAAAAAUAUUACAUUGCAGCUACGAUUAUCUCUGGAAAAAAGUUUAAGAAAAAAAAGUAUAGUACUUACAUUAUUUACAAAUUAAACUUUAAAAGCUGUUGAAAAACACAGUUAAAAUUGUGUUUUUUAAAAAAUAAUUUUUUAAUCAAAAAUUUGAAUGCGGUGAAAAUAUAAAAAUUAACUUUUUUAUAUUAUUAAAUUGUUUUGAUGUGAUGAUGUGAAAAAUAAUUUUUUAAUAAUAAAAUUUUAUUAUUUUAAUAUGUUUUCAAAUAAAAAAUAUUUUAAAAAUUAAUUAUUAACAUAAUAAAAAAUCUGGCAUUUUCUUGCUUACUUUCAAAUCCAAACUCUUGACCUUCAAUGAAAAUCGUGUCUCAAAUUUUUUUUAUCAUGGCUCCUUGUUGAAAAUGCACAGGAUAUCAACAAACCUUCAAUGCACAUAAAUGUAGGAGAGAUCAUGGUUCCUUGCUGAAAAUAUCAACUUUGAUCUCAUAUUGAACUGAACAAGAGCCUCGAAGAGCAUGCAUGUUUGAUAAUGUUUUCACUAUUUCAACUUAAAUCUACAAGACAUGGGCAAUACGGAUUGACUAUGGAUCAAAUCCAAAAAUUAAUGGCACGUACGAUGAUCAAAAAACUACUAUGUAUUAGCAUUAUUUUUCUACUCGGUCUCUUUCCAUGAAAAUCAGGUAGAAUAGAAUUAACUGAUUGGCCUUCUUAAUUUCCAAAAUCCACCAUUGGUGAUUUGUAAGCCUUUUUCUUAAUCACAACGCGAGAAAGGUACACGUGAAAGACCAGACGAUCUUGACUUUUAACGAGUCCAUGGGAAUUGAUGCCAUGCACUUCAUUAAUAAAUUUAGCAUUAUCAUUGAAGUGAAGCAUUAGACACAAACAUGGCGUCCAUUGAUUAUGAGCCAAAACUUCUUGCAAUUUUAAGCAUCUCAUUUUUCUUGUCCUGUAUUUUUGUAUCUGUGGCUGCACUUGAUGACUCGGCCUUGCUAGCAUCAGAAGGCAAGGCUUUGCUUGAGAGUGGAUGGUGGAGUCAAUACAGCAACGUCACCUCACAUUGUUGCCAGUACUGGCCUGGCAUAUUUUGUAAUAGGGCUGGAAGCAUCACUGAGAUUUCCCCACCUCCAGAGCUCGUCAAGGUGGGAAAUAAGUUUGGAAAGAUGAACUUUUCUUGCUUCUCAAACCUUGCCCGUCUCCACCUGCCCAACCAUGAGCUCAGUGGGAGCAUCCGUCCUGAACUAGGCAAUCUUCCACAACUCAGAUACCUCAACCUGUCCUCAAAUAAUCUAGCAGGUGAGUUUCCGUCUUCACUUGGAAAUCUCAGCCGAUUAGUUGAGCUUGAUUUUUCUUACAAUGAUUUCAUCAAUUCCAUCCCUCCAGAACUAGGCAAUCUUAAAAAUCUUGUUACUUUGAACUUGUCUCAUAACAACUUCAGCGGCCCAAUCCCUUCGGCACUUUGUCAUUUGGAAAAUCUAACGCAUUUACAAAUGGAUCACAAUAGUCUAACAGGUGAGUUACCGUCUUCACUGGGAAAUCUCAGCCGAUUAGUUGAGCUUGAUUUUUCUUCCAAUAAUUUCACCAACUCCAUCCCUCCAGAACUAGGCAAUCUUAAAAAUCUUGUUACUUUGAGCUUUAGUGAGAACAACAUCUAUGGAUCCAUUCCUUUGGAAAUAGGAAAUUUGACGAACCUUGAAGAUUUAGAUCUUUCCUUUAAUUUCCUAGGUGGUUCAAUUCCUUCAACUUUGGGCCUUUUAUCCAAUUUGAUUGUUCUAGAACUUUUCAGUAACCAAAUCACGGGUUCGAUUCCUUUUUCGUUAGGCAAUUUAAGAAGCUUGCCAAGGCUAGACCUCUCUCACAACCAAAUCACGGGUUCGAUUCCUUUUUCGUUAGGCAAUUUAACAACCUUGACAACCCUAGACCUCUCUGACAACCAAAUCAACGGAUCUGAAAUACAAAACUUUACAAAUUUGGAAGAAUUAUAUUUGAGUUCAAACGGUAUCAGUGGUUCGAUUCCUUCAACUUUGGGCCUUUUAUCCAAUUUGAUUAUUCUAGAUCUUUCCUACAACCAAAUCACCGGUUUGAUUCCUUUUUCAUUAGGCAAUUUAACAAACUUGGCAAUGCUAGACCUCUCUUACAACCAAAUCAACGGAUCCAUCCCUGUAGAAAUACAAAACUUGACAAAUUUGGAAGGCUUACAUUUGAGUUUAAACAAUAUAUGUGGUUCGAUUCCUUCAACUUUAGUUUUUUUAUCCAAUUUGGUUGCUCUAAAUCUUUCCUAUAACCAAAUCACUGGUUUGAUUCCUUCAACUUUGGGUCUUUUAUCCAAUUUGACUUUUCUAGAUCUUUCCUAUAACCAAAUCACUGGUUUGAUUCCUUCAACUUUGGGUCUUUUAUCCAAUUUGACUUUUCUAGAUCUUUCGUAUAACCAAAUCACUGGUUUGAUUCCUUUUUCAUUAGGCAAAUUACCAAGCUUGACAAAGCUAGACCUCCAUAACAACCAAAUCAACGGAUCCAUCCCUUUAGAAAUACAAGACUUGAUAAAUUUGAAAGAAUUAAAUUUGAGUUCAAACAAUAUAUGUGGUUCGAUUCCUUUAACUUUGGGCCUUUUAUCCAAUUUGAUUUUCUAGAUCUUUUAUAACCAAAUCACUGUUUGAUUCCUUUUUGUUAGGCAAUUUAACAAACUUGAUAAGCCUAGACCUCUCUCACAACCAAAUCAACAGAUCCAUCCCUUCAUCUUUGAAGUAUUGUAAUAAUUUGGCCUCCCUAUAUUUGAGCUUCAAUAAUUUAAGUGGAGAGAUACCCUCCGAACUAUAUGAUUUGGGCUCUUUAAAAGAUGUGAAUUUUAGUUACAAUAAUCUCUCAGGCCAUGUUCCCUUGAAUUUGCCAACACCCUUUGAUUUUUAUUUCACAUGUGAUUUACUUCUUUAUGGGGAAAUUACCAACAAUUCUGUAACUUUUAAAGCUACUACAUUUGAGAGCAACAAAUAUUUACACCUUAAUUUCUCACGUUGUCCAUCUAAUUACUCCCCACCUUUACAAACCUACUUGUUACCUUCAAAAGACAAAAGAAGGAUUCAUUCCAUCAAGAUAUUUCUUCCUAUCACCACCAUUUCACUUUGUCUCUUGUGCCUCGGAUGUUGUUAUCUGUCUCGAUGCAAGGCUACCCAACCUGAGCCAGCAUCAUCAAAUAAUGGAGACUUGUUUUCUGUAUGGAAUUAUGAUGGGACGAUUGCAUACGAAGACAUCAUUACAGCGAUCGAGAACUUUGACCUCUUUGACCUUUUUGUUAGGCAAUUUAACAAGCUUGACAAGGCUAGCCCUCUCUCACAACCAAAUCAACGGAUCCAUCCCUGUAGAAAUACAAAACUUGACAAAUUUGGAGGAAUUAUAUUUGAGUUCAAACAAUAUCAGUGGUUCGAUUCCUUCAACUUUGAGCCUUUUAUCCAAUUUGAUUCUUCUAGAUCUUUCCGACAACCAAAUCACCGGUUUGAUUCCUUUUUCGUUAGGUAAUUUAACAAACUUGACAAUAUUAUACCUCUAUGACAAUCAAAUCAACGGAUCCAUCCCUUUAGAAAUACAGAACUUGACAAAUUUGGAGGAAUUAUAUUUGAGUUUAAACAAUAUCUAUGGUUCGAUUCCUUCAACUUUGGACCUUUUAUCCAAUUUGAUUAUUCUAGAUCUUUCCCAUAACCAGAUCACUGGUUUGAUUCCUUUUUCGUUAGGCAAUUUAACAAACUUGACAACACUAGACCUCCAUGACAAUCAAAUCAACGGAUCCAUCCCUGUAGAAAUACAAAACUUGACAAAUUUGGAGGAAUUAUAUUUGAGUUCAAACAAUAUCAGUGGUUCGAUUCCUUCAACUUUAAGCCUUUUAUCCAAUUUGAUUCUUCUAGAUCUUUCCUACAACCAAUUCACCGGUUUGAUUCCCUUUUUGUUAGGCAAUUUAACAAACUUGACAAGGCUAGACCUCUCUCACAACCAAAUCACCGGGGUGAUUCCUUUUUCGUUAGGCAAUAUAACAAGAUUGACAAGGCUAGACCUCUAUGACAACCAAAUCACCGGGGUGAUUCCUUUUUCGUUAGGCAAUUUAACAAGAUUGACAAGACUAGCCCUCUAUGACAACCAAAUCAACGGAUCCAUCCCUUCAUCUUUGAAGUAUUGUAAUAAUUUGGCCUCCCUAGAUUUGAGCUUCAAUAAUUUAAGUGGAGAGAUACCCUCCGAACUAUAUGACUUGGGCUCUUUAAAUUAUGUGAAUUUUAGUUACAAUAAUCUCUCAGGCCCUGUUCCCUUGCCUUUGUAUCCGCCCUUUAAUUUCACAUGUGAUUUACUUCUUCAUGGGCAAAUUACCAACGAUUCUGCAACUUUUGAAGCUACUGCAUUUGAGGGCAACAAAUAUUUACACCUUAAUUUCUCACGUUGUCCAUAUAUUUACUCCCCACCUUCACAAACCUACUUGUUACCUUCAAAAGACAACAGAAUAAUUCAUUCCAUCAAGAUAUUUCUUCCUAUCACCACCAUUUUACUUUGUCUCUUGUGUCUCGGACGUUGUUAUUAUCUGUCUCGAUGCAAGGCUACCCAACCUGAGCCAACAACAUUAAAGAAUGGAGACUUGUUUUCCAUAUGGAAUUAUGAUGGGACGAUUGCAUACGAAGACAUCAUUGCAGCGACUGAGAACUUUGACCUCAGAUAUUGUAUCGGAACCGGUGGUUAUGGGAGCGUCUACCGAGCACAACUUCCAGGUGGGAAAUUAGUUGCCUUGAAGAAACUUCAUCGUCGAGAGGCAGAGGAGCCGGCUUUUGACAAGAGUUUCAAAAAUGAGGUGGAAGUGCUCACACAAAUACGUCACAGGAGCAUUGUAAAGCUUUAUGGAUUCUGUUUGCACCAGCGCUGCAUGUUUCUUGUUUACGAGUACAUGGAAAAGGGAAGCUUGUUUUGUGCCUUGAGAAAUGAUGUCGGAGCUGUGGGAUUGAAGUGGAUGAAAAGAGCACACAUCAUCAAAGACAUUGCUCACGCAUUAUCUUACUUGCAUCAUGAUUGCAACCCGCCAAUUGUUCAUCGAGACAUAUCAAGCAGCAAUGUUCUGUUGAAUUCAGAAUCCAAGUCUUUUGUUGCUGAUUUUGGCGUGGCUAGACUUCUUGAUCCUGAUUCGUCCAACCAUACUGUACUUGCUGGUACCUAUGGAUACAUUGCCCCAGGUAAAAAUAUUUCUUCUUAACAUCCAUAUUUACCACUCAUGCACUGCAAAACUAAAGCAAACUCUCUUUUAAAUAUAUAUAUAUAUAUAUAUAUAUAUAUAUAUAUAUAUAUAUUAAUUUCGAUUUGUAUAUGGGCAGAGUUGGCUUAUACUAUGGCGGUGACAGAGAAAUGUGAUGUGUACAGCUUUGGAGUUGUGGCGCUUGAAACUUUGAUGGGAAGGCAUCCGGGAGAUAUCCUAUCAUCAUCUGCUCAGGCUAUUACACUGAAAGAAGUGUUAGAUCCUCGUUUGCCACCUCCAACAAAUGAGAUUGUCGUACACAAUAUAUGUACCAUUGCAAGUCUCAUAUUUUUUGCUUACAUUCAAAUCCAAAAAUCGACCUUCAAUGAAAUUCGUGUCUCAAGAAUUUCUAAUCUCCCAAGAGAUUAUUGGGAGGUCUCGAGAUUUCUUUGUUGGAGCUGCGAAAUCUUGGCUUGCACACAAAUGUAGGUGAGAUCACAGUUCCUCGCUGAAAAAGUCAACUUCGAUCUCGCAUGGAACUUCAACGAGAGCCUCCAAGAGCAUGCGUUUUAGAAUUCUUAAUUUUGGAUGAAUUUUUUUUUUUGUUUUGUUUUAGCACACUACAUGUGUUUGUAAUAUUUUAGUGUGACAUUGUAUGUAAUUUUAAUAAUGCACACUUUUCUUGUGCAUGAUGGCUAGUAUCAAUAUAAAUGAGCAUAUAUCAUAUUAAGUCUACCUCUCUGUACGUCUAGGUUAAAUUGAAAUCAUCACUCAUCUUAUAAUUUGGCAAAUCCACACUUGAAAUAUGCAGAAGAUAUUUGUUAACUCCAUUAAUUUGUCCCUGCAAGCUUUUGUAUAAUAGAUGCCUGAAGCAGUGAUUGGAUCUACUCUCUACCUUAUUAUUUAUCAUUUGGCACAGAUGGAAUUUCCAAUCAUCUUCCACUCCAAAGGAAGAUUUACGUCUCAUGUUUGGGACCAAGCUUUGACCUCAAAGGAUGGUGAGUCGAGAUGUCCACCCUCCAUUGUGUAAAUUUUGGAUAUCAGCAUGCCCCAACAUCGGCCACCAUGUCUAUCUAGUAAAAUGCUCAACACUGUAGCUGUACAAGAUGCUACUAUAGAUUAUUUUCAGUCUCAGAGACAUUUACUAACAGAGAAAAUAUAUCAUAGUAUCCGAUUAUGAGCACAUGAUUUCUUCGUAUCAGCAUCUGAUUUAUAAAAUAUUGAAACCAAUUUUUAAAGUUGAAAUUCUUUACCUUGUUAUCACAUUGAUCAUCCCAUUAAUUCCCCCUUCAUGAUAUCUUUAAAUAAGAAAAAGCUUGGGGUAUGUGCAACUAUCCUGAUGCUCUUAGACAAGCCAGGAAAAAAAAUUAUUUGGAGCAUCAUAUUUUUUCUUGGACGGUCGUUCAUAGAUCGUAUAUGCUAAAUGUUCUACAUAGUCUAAUUAUAACAAAUGAUUAUAUGAAAGUUCAUAUUCUCCUGCAUGAAAGCUCUAUAUACAUACCCAUUAUCUUGGUGACAAUUGACAAGUCACCGAUACAAUUCUGCAAUUAAAUUAGAAUGCAAGGAUAAUAUAUUUAUUUAUGAUUUUAUUAAUUAUCUCAUAGCUGUGUAUAUUCAAUAAUUUCCUUUAAUGAUUACAGCUCCGCAUCAGUUUCUUUCUUGUUCGAGGCUUGUCGGGCCUUUUAUUGAACCAAAACAAAAACAAACUAUUAUAACAUGUCUAUGAAACAAAGCCCAAGCAGCUAUUGGCUUAAGCCUUUUUAUUCCAGCGCGGGAUUUCAAAUUCUUGCAAGAAUCGUACAAUUACCAGAAUCACUAACAAUUCAUUUUCUGUUUUGGAAGAAUUAUUUUUCAAAGUAUUUUUUAUUUAAAAAUAUAUUAAAAUAGUAUUAUUUUAUUUUUAAAAUUUUUUUUGAUAUUAGUAUUAAAAAUAUUAAAAUUAUUAAAAAAUAAAUUAAUUUAAAGCAAAAAAUAAAAAAUAUUUUUAAAACGUAAAAAAAACAACAAACUGAUUCUAAAAUUACCAGAAUCCAUAAUUAUUGCAAUAUUAUUAAUUUAAUAUUUUUUAUUCUUAUCUUUAUUCUUUUGUAAUUAUUUUCUUUGCAUAUGAAACUUUUGCUUUCACCUUACAAAAUUAUUAUACAAAGACUAAAAAAAUGAUGUUUUAAUGUAGCAAUUACAACGUUAUUCUAUUUUUAUACAACAUUAAAAAUGAGCUUAAGAUCUUAUUUUUUUAUUACAUAUAUGAACUUCACUAUAUUAUAUUAUAUGUAAGCAUCAACCUUUUAUUUCACGAUUAUAUUUUUUACGUCUUCAAAAAAUAUGUUAAUAACACCUACACAUUAAUUCAUCUGUGCUAAAAAAUAAUUAUCAACUUGCAACUACGUGAAUCGAAUAGACACGCUAAUAUUGUUUUGCAUUUAUUGAAAGAGAUGAUUCUUGAUUUAUUUAAUUACAUGCAUGUAUAUGCCUUUUCUUUUUGUACAAAAAUGCAUUUGAAAAGCUUGCAUGUGUUUUUCUUCCAAAAACAUUAUCUAGCCCGGAGAGGAUUGCAUUUCAAAUAACUAGUAGUAUAUACUAAAAGAGUUGAUGAUUAUAUUGUUAAUCACCUCACAAAACACUAUUCAUUUUAAUAGUGUUUUGUUUUCGUUCCCCUCCUAAAUCUGUGUUUCUCCUUAAUUUUAUACUUCAACAUUUAGUUUAUUGGAUAUUGAGCUUUAUAAUUUAUUAUGGUUUACUUUAUAUGUGGUUAGUCGAGUCUUGUAAUCUAUGUCACAGGUUUAGCAGGUUAAUUCGGUUGAUUUGGGGUUUUUUUAAUUGAUUUUGUUUUUUAAUCUUGUUCUUCAACAUUGGAUUGAUUGAUAAUUAUGCUUUAUAAUUUAUUUUGGUUUGUUUUUUUAUAAGGUUAUCCGAUUUAAUGAGUCGAGUCGCAAGUUUAACGGGUUAACCCAGUUGACUCGAAUUGUUUUUGUCUUUUUUUAAUUGAUAUUUUUUCAAUUUUAUGUUUCAAUAUUGAGUUGAUUAUCAAUUAGGUUUCAUUAUUUAUUUUGGUUUGUUUUCUAUGAAGUUAUCUUAAUCUUAUGAUUUGGGUCACGUAUUUUGUAGGUUAACGCAUGUAGACUGAGAUUGUUUUAUUGUGUUCUGUUUUUAUAUUGAAUUUUUUUUCUUCAAUUUCAACCUUUAACAAUGGGUUUAUUGAAAAUUGAGCUUCAUAAUUUGUUUUGAUUUACUUUCUAUGGAUUUAUCAGGUUGACUCGAGUUGACUCAGGUUAUUUUUUUUUUUACUUUCUAUAAGGUUAUCCUAAUUUUUUUGACCCGGAUCACGGGUUUGACAAUUUAACUUAGGUAAUUUUUUUUCAUUUUUAUCCUUUAGUACUUGAUUGAUUUGGAAUCAGGCUUCAUAUUUUUUUGGUCUUGCUUUCUCUAAAGUUAUCCCGGUUUCAUUACUAGGGUUACAGUUUGGCGAGUUAACCUGAGUUGGCUCAGGGUUUUUUUUGUUUGUUUUUUUAAUUUCAUAAUUUAAAAUUAAGAUUUCUUAUCUUGAGUCACAGGUCAACUUAGGUUUGUUUUUUCUUUUUUUAUUUAUUUUUUUUCAAAUUUAUCCUUUAAUAUUUAAUUGAUUUGAGAUUAAGCUUCUUAUUUAUUUUUGUUUUCUAUGAGGUUAUCUUAAUCUCAUUACAUAGUUCAAGAGUUUGACUGGUUAACCGGAGUUGACUCAGUUUUUUUGAAUCGAUUUUUUUUUCCAAUUUCAUACUUCAACAUUGGAUUAAUUGAGAAUUGAACUUCAUAAUUUGUUUUGAUUUGGUUUAUAAGGAGUUAUCUUAGUCAUAUGACUUAGGUUGUAGCUUUAACAGGUUAACCCAAGUUAACUCGAGUUGUUUGUUUUUUGAUUUUUUUUAAUUUCAUCUUUUAACAUUGGUUUAAUUGAGAAUUGAGUUUCAUAUUUGGUUUUGAUUUACUUUCUAUGUGGUUAUUUCGAUCUUAUAUUUUUGUCGUGAAUUUGACGGGUUUACUCGGAUAGAUCUAAUAUAUUUUCGUCUCAAUAUUUUUUUUAAAAAACAUGCAAUCUUGAAUUUUUUUAGUCAAACUAUAUUUUUAACGAUUUUCCAGUUGACCUCGUCAUAUCAAGUUAACUCCUACUCGUUUUAAUGUUUUUCAACUAGAAAACACGUUAAUAACACUUAGAUAUUUUUUGAUGUUAAAAAAGUUAAUCCGACCUGCAACAUAGUGCGGACAAUAAUCUAGUCUACUCUAUUUUUGAAAGUAAGGGCCUAAAGGGAUAUUUGAGAUUAUGGUAGUGAUUGCUUUUCAAAGUGCGUUUCGCUCGGAAAUGCAUCAAAAUAAUAUAUAUAUAUUUUUUAAAAAUAUUAUUUUUGAUAUUAACACAUCAAACUAAUUUGAAAACACUAAAAAAAUUAUUAAUUUGAAAUAAAGAAAAAAAAUAAAAAAAAUUAAAAUUUUCAAAACAUUUUUGAAACCAAAAAAACAAACAAACAUUUAAAAAUGUUAAAAUUCGGAUAGACUUAGAAUGAAAUCCCCAAACUAAUGGCAAGAGGAUCAGAAUACAUGUAUCUGGAUUAUUUUCUUCUCGAUCUCUUCGCAUGAAAGUCAGGGAGAAUAGAUUAACUGACUGGCCUUCUUAAUUUCCAAAUGAUACUAUUGAUGAACAUUUUUCUCCUUUGUGGAAAAAGAAAAGGACUUGCUAGACAAUCUGAAGCUAUUGUCUUAGGCAUUGGAAUUGAUAGAAUUAAAAGUCUUGCAGUGAACGCAUGGACCCAUGCAUCAUGUUUGGUUUCAAAAGACAGGAAGAAAAGUCCAUGGGAAUGCCAUGCACUUCAUUCAUAAACUUCGCAUUAUCAUUGAAGGGAAGCAUUACCACGCAAACAUGGCAUCCGUUGAUUGUGAGCCAAAACUUCUCGCAAUUUUAAGCAUCUCAUUUUUGUACUGGUCUCGUGGCUGCUCUUGACCCAGCCUUGCUAGCAUCAGAAGGCAAGGCUUCGCUUGAGAGUGGAUGGUGGAGUGACUACAGCAACCUCACCUCACAUCGUCGCAACUGGACUGGCAUAGUCUGUGAUCGGGCUGGAAGCAUCACUGAUUCACUGAGAUUUCCCCACCUCCAGAGUUCCUCAAGGGGGGGAAUAUACCUGUGUGAGAGAUGCCAUGUGCUAUUAGAGAGCUCAAACAAUGCUAAAGAUACAAAUUAUUUUGAUUAAAAUUAUUUUAUGGAUUGGUGCUGCUGCUAUGAUGGGUGUUGCAGUGAUCGAUUAAAUAAUAAAGUCUGAGAUAUCUCUUCACAUUGCCCUCAAUUAUUUGGUUGUGUCAUCUAGCAGGACUCUUCUGAGAACGAGAGAGAUUUCUUUGGAUCUGAAGAUUUCGGUCUAAAGCCAAUCAGAACGGAAUCCACAUCAACAACGAAUACUUUCCAGAAAAAGAGUAUAUUUUUUGAAGAAUCCCCAAUGUCAAGAUUUGGCAACUCUCCAAGGUUCAGCGAAGCAGGGGACCAUUUUGACAAUUACUCGAGAUUUGAUUCCUUCAGCAUGAAUGAAGGAGGCUUUUCACCACGAGAAAAGCUUACAAGGUUCGACUCCAUAAACAGCUCCAAAGAUUUUGGCCACAGCCGUGCAUUCUCUUCAUUUGAUGAUGGAGAUCCAUUUGGCUCCAGCGCCCCCUUUAAGGUUUCAUCUGAAGAUCAAACUCCCAAAAAGAGUUCUGGCAAUUGGAGUUCUUUCUAGCAGCAAUCUGGUUUUCCCGUCCCUCCCUCUCUCUCCAUUUUUUUUCACGGUUGCCAAUUUUUGUAUGUGCUGUAUAGAUUGUGUUGAAAUGCUGAAUUGUUGUAAAGUUAUUCAUCAUGGCCUUGCUUCAUUUUUAUUUUGCUGAGGUAAAAAAACUUAUGUUUGGGGGGCAUCCAGAUCAAAGAUGGAAUGCUUGUUCUUUUGAGUGGCAAAUUCUUGAGACCAAUAAAAACUGAGUAGUUUGAGAAAACAAUGCUCUUGGCAUUCCAUCAACUCACAUUGCUCAAAUUGCAUUUUAUUUGAAGCUGCCUGCUUCACUAUGACUGUUGGCAUUCCCUUUCUUCAUUUUUUAAUUUUUGGUGCUACGAGUUGUUUAACAAUGCAAGCCAGGCAGUAAACACCGGUUUUGGAGGCGCGUGACCUUCCUUAAGGGUUUUGGCCACGCGCUUCCUUGGAUAUUUCUAUUAUCCAGAUGAGCUCGGGUGCUAGGCUAUGUCUGAAUGAGAUUAUGGGCUCGUUAGCUGGGCCUUUUCCAUAUUGGCAAGUUGUGGACUCGUAUUGGGUUUUGCAUGUCGGAUUUGGCCUGAUUUGAUGAAUCAUUUUUAAAGUUUUGGGAUUUUAAUUUUAAUUUUUGAUUUUAUGGGUUAAAUUAAGAAAUACCGGGUGGGGUGCACUGUGGUCUUGGGGAUAGACGGGGACGUGGGUGGGUCAACCCAAGGAGGGGAUGGUAAGGAACUAGGAAGAUUCAUGGAGUUAGGGUCGUCGUAUGUGUGUGUGUGGAGGGUUGUGUAUGUGGGUAGGGUGGGGCCUUCUUCUUAUUACCAUAGGCAUGCUGGAUAUUUUUCCAGGACAUUAAACCAUGUCCCAAGUCCCAACACUGUCAGUCUCGACUCAACUACUUCAAGGAAAGUUUGCCAAUUGCAUGUUCUUGGAAGCAACCGGAUCAUCAUCUACUCUAUUUAUGAAACAAAGGCCCCACAAGACGUGGAAUGAGUCCAUGAAAAUGCCAUGCACUUAAUUCAUUCAUAAAUUUCGCAGGCAAGCGCAAACAUGGCAAUACAAGAUGCGAGCAAUUAUUAUCUGCACGGUCUCUUUCUAUGAAAGGAUGGAUUGACUGCCUGGGCUUCUUAGUUUUCAAAUGCCACUGUUCGUGAUAAAAAAUAGAAUGCCUGUUCUUUUGAGUGACAGAUUGUUGAGACCAAUAAAAACAAACUGAGACGUACGAGAAACCAUUGGUGGUGAAAUUUCAUGCUCUCAUUUUCACCCAUCAACUCACAUUGUUCAAGUUCCAUUUUAUUUGACGCUGCUUUACCAUGACAGUUGGCAUUGCAUUUUGUCAGUUCUUAAUUUUUGAUGCUGUGAAUUGCUUAACAAUGUAAGCUAGACAAUAAAAACACAGGUUUUGGACUUUCUCUACACCACAACUACAUCAGUCUUUCAAGAUUACAGGUUCGAUCCCUUCAGAAAUAGGGAAUUUGAAGAACUUGUGUGGACUUUCUCUACAUCGGAACUACAUCACUGGUUCGAUUCCUUUUUCAUUAGACAAUUUAAGAAACUUGGCAUUUCCAUAACUCUCUUACAACCACAUCAAGGGAUCCAUCCCUUUGGAAAUAUGGAACUUGGCAAAUUUGGAAGCAUUAGAUCUUAGUUCAAACAAUAUCAGUGGUUCCAUUCAUUCCAGAGUAGGCAGUUUAACCAUUUUGAGAUAUCUUGACCUUUCUUCCAAUCAAAUCAACGGAUCCAUCCUUUACGAAAUAGAGAGCAUGGAAAAUUUGAAAACAAUAGAUCUCAGUUCAAACAAUAUCCAUGGUUCGGUUCCUACCAUGAUGUGCAAUUUAAAAGCUUUAUGGAUCCUGUUUGCACCAGCGUUGCAUGUUUCUUGUUUACCAGUACAUAGAAAAGGGAAGCUUGUCUUGUGCCUUGAGAAAUGAUGUUGCAGCUGUGGAAUUGAAGUGGAUGAAAAGAGCACACAUCAUCAAAGACAUUGCUCACACAUUAUCUUGCAUCAUGAUUGCCACCCACCAAUUGUUUAUCGAGACAUAUCAAGCAGCAUUGUUCUGUUGAAUUCAGAAUCCAAGUCUUUUGUUGCUGAUUUUGGUGUGGCUAGACUUCUCGAUCCUGAGUCGAGUCGUCCAACCAUACUGUAUUUGCUGGUACCUAUUGAUAAGCUAGUAAGAAUUGUUACAGAGAUGAACAAGAAGCGAACAGAAUUAGAGAAAGAUGCUGCAAUGCAGAGGAAGAAGAAAAUGUUUCUGUGUAUUAUUCACUGCUUACAUUCCCAGCACUGUUACAUUCAUUUUAUAUGAACUAAAGGUGAGAAGCUUGGUUACGUAAUCUAAUCAACAGUAACAGACUUUGUUAACUGUCUAACCAUAUUAGCAAACUUGCUAACCAUUAUAUCUCUAUUCUCUUGACAGGUGGCAGCAGCAGAGCCUUUGAUAUCUUGACACCUAUGGAUACAUCGCCCCAGGUAAAAAUAUUUCAACUUCAUCUACAAGACGUGGGCAAUAGGGAUUGACUAAGAAUCAAAUCCACAAAUUGAUGGCACGAUGAUCAGAAUACCACAAUGUAUUAGCAUUAUUUUUCUACUCGGUCUCUUUCCAGGAAAAUCAGGGAGAAUAGAAUUAACUGAUUGGCCUUCUUUAUUUCCAAAAUCCACUAUUGGUGAUUUGUAAGCCUUUUUCUUAAUCACAACGCAAGAAAAGUACACGUGAAACACAGACGAUCUUGACUUGGAACGAGUCCAUGGGAAUGCCAUGCACUUCAUUCAUAAACUUAGCAUUAUCAUUGAAGGGAAGCAUUAGACACAAACAUGGCAUCCAUUGAUUAUGAGCCAAAACUUCUUGCAAUUUUAAGCACCUCAAUUUUCGUGUCCUGUAUUUUUGUAUCAAGUACUGGUCUUGUGGCUGCACUUGAUGACUCCGCCUUGCUAGCAUCAGAAGGCAAGGCUUUGCUUGAGAGUGGAUGGUGGAGUGACUACAGCAACCUCACCCCAUAUCGUUGCAACUGGACUGGCAUAGUCUGUGAUCGGGCUGGAAGCAUCACUGAGAUUUCCCCACCUCCAGAGGUCGUCAAGGUGGGAAAUAAGUUUGCAAAGAUGAACUUUUCUUGCUUCUCAAACCUUGUCCGUCUCCACCUGGCCAAGCAUGAGCUCAGUGGGAGCAUCCCGCCUCAAAUUUCUAUCCUCCCACAACUCAGACACCUCAACCUGUCCUCAAAUAAUUUAACAGGUGAGUUACCGUCUUCACUUGGAAAUCUCAGCCGAUUAGUUGAGCUUCAUUUUUCUUACAAUAAUUUCAUCAAUUCCAUCACUCCAGAACUAGGCAAUCUUAAAAAUCUUGUUACUUUGAACUUGUCUCAUAAUAUUGAAUUGAAAUCCGUUGAUCACGUAGAAGAUUCUGCAGCAACUAUAAAUCAGGCCAAACCUGGACCUCUAUUUUCGGUUAUGAUUACAUGCCUUGAUUUACAUCUCUAGAUUCUAUUUUGAAUUUUGUAUAGCAAAUUAGUAGGAGUGAUUUACUUACAGCUGUAUUAUAAAUAUUCAGACUCUGAGCAUAUAUGAAAUUAAAAAAACUAUUUUGCCUCAUCUGUCUCUGUUAAUCUCUACAUGGUAUCAGAGCAGGCGACUUACGUCCUCUCAUAAAGAUCCUUCUCUGUCCAUUAUUUUCACCUCUUCCUUCUAAACUCCUGUCUCAUAUUCCUCUUAGCCACCAUGGCCACCUCUCCUCAUUCUUCCUCUACUUCUAACAACACUCUACCUGUCUUUAAUCCUUCUUCCAGCCUCAACAUCACCAAACUUACUCACAACAAUUUUCUAAAUUGGAAAGCAACCAUGCUUCCCUAUCUCAAAGGUAAAAAAGUGUUUGGCUAUGUUGAUGACACUAUUAAAAUGCCUUUCUUCAUGGACUGUUAGAUGAAGAGGUAUAUAUGUGUCAACCUCAAGGGUACAUUCAUCCCGACUUUCCCACUCACAUAUGCCGUUUAAAGAAAAGUCUAUAUGGUCUUCGUCAGGCUCCCCGUUCUUGAUUUUCUCGGUUGACAGAUCAAUUGCUUCAGUAUGGUUUUGUAGGCUCCAAAUCAGAUCCUUCUCUUUACAUUCUACAGACUGCAAGUUUCCAGCUGCUCAUCCUUAUAUAUGUUAAUGACAUACUUGUCACGGGUUCUCACUUUGAGGAAGUCAACAAAUUAAUUUCUUAUCUUGGACGUGCCUUCCCUGUCAAAGACUUGGGACAAUUAUCAUAUUUUCUUGGAGUUGAAACUCUGCAUGAUGGUGGUGAUUUGAUUCUGACUCAACAAAAAUAUGUAAUUGACUUGUUACAAAGACUCAAGCUAGAUAAGGUAAAACCUUGCAGCACGCCAAUGUCCACAAACUGCACACUAUCCAAAUUUGAGGGUAUUAAUUUCGACGACCCUUAUUUAUAUCGAAGUACAGUUGGUGCCUUACACUAUCUUGGUUUUACACGACCCGACAUUGCAUUUGCAGUUCACAAGGUGAGCAAGUUCAUGCAUCAGCCCAAAGAUGUUCAUUGGCAGGCAGUGAAACGUAUACUUCGUUAUCUCAAAUACACUGUCAAUUAUGGUUUACAUAUUACUCCUCAGUCUGAUCAUACUUUACAAGGCUUUAGUGACGCCGAUUGGGCUGGUGACAGUGAUGACCGACGAAGUGUAGGAGCAUAUUGUAUCUUUCAUGGAUCCAAUUUAAUUAGCUAGAACUGCAAACAACAACAAACAGUGGCACGCAUCAGCACUGAAUCGGAAUAUAAGUCACUGGCCAACACUGUUGCUGAAUUGCAGUGGCUUCAAUCUCUGCUGCAAGAACUCCAAAUGCCUCUCCAACACUGUCCAACUCUUUGGUGUGACAAUAUUGGUGCAAUUUAUUUCUCAUCUAAUCCAAAGUUCCAUGCUCGUACGAAACACAUUGAAAUUGACUUUCAUUUCGUACGAGAUCAAGUUGUGCAACAGAAACUUCAUGUCUCCUUCGUGUCCACACGUGAUCAGCUCGCAGAUUUGUUGACUAAACCUUUGGCUGUUGCACGGUUUAAUCAUCUACGAACCAACCUUCAUGUGCAGGAGCUGCCCAUUCGGUUGAUGGGGUGUAUUGAAUUGAAAUCCGUUGAUCACGUAGAAGAUUCUGCAGCAACUAUAAAUCAGGCCAAACCUCAGCAAGUGGAGAAGACUUAACAAACCUGGACCUCUAUUUUCGGUUAUGAUUACAUGCCUUGAUUCACGUCUCCAGAUUCUAUUUUGAAUUUUGUAUAGCAAAUUAGUAGGAGUGAUUUACUUACAGCUGUAUUAUAAAUAUUCAGACUCUGUGCACAUAUGAAAUUAAGAAAAUUAUUUUGCCUCAUCUGUCUCUGUUGUAGAGUCUCUACACAUAACAACUUCAGCGGCCCAAUCCCUUCGGCACUUUGUCAUUUGGAAAAUCUAACGCAUUUACAAAUGGAUCACAAUAGUUUCGAAGGUGCCCUCCCUAGUGAAAUAGGGAACAUGAAGAAUCUAGAGAUUUUGGACGUGAGUAAUAAUACACUUAAUGGUCCAAUCCCUCGAACAAUGGGUAGUUUAGCCAAGUUGAGGUCUUUGAUCUUUUUUAUAAACAAAAUCAACGGAUCCAUCCCUUUGGAAAUAGGAAAUUUGACGAACCUUGAAGAUUAAGAUCUUUGCUCUAAUAACCUAGUUGGUUCAAUUCCUUCAACGAUGGGUCUUUUAUCCAACUUGAUUUCUCUAUUUCUUUGUGAGAACCAAAUCAAAGGAUCCAUCCCUUUGGAAAUAGGAAAUUUGACGAAUCUAUAAUAUUUAGACCUUUCCUCUAAUAGCCUAGGUGGUUUAAUUCCUUCAACUUCGGGCCUUUUAUCCAAUUUGAUUUUUGUAGAUCUUUCCUAUAAUACCCUAGUUGAUUCAAUUCCUUCAACUUUAGGCCCUUUAUCCAAUUUGAUUCUUCUAUAUCUUUCCUACAACCAAAUCAAUGGAUCCAUCCCAAUCAAGAUAAGAAAUUUGAUAAAUUUGAAAGAUUUAUAUAUGAAUUCAAACAAUAUUAGUGGUUUGAUUCCUUCUAUAAUGGGCCGUUAUAGAGAACCAAACCUUUUUGAAAACCAAAUCAAUGGAUCCAUCCUUUCAUCUUUGAAGUAUUGUAAUAAUUUGACCUUCCUAGAUUUGAGCUGCAAUAAUUUAAGUGAAGAGAUACCCUCCAAUCUAUAUGAUUUGACCUCUUUACAAUAUGUGAAUUUUAGUUACAAUAAUCUCUCAGGCCUGUUCCCUUGAAUUUGCCACCACCCUUUGAUUUUUAUUUCACAUGUGAUUUACUUCUUCUUGGGAAAAUUACCGACGAUUCUACAACUUUUAAAGCUACUGCAUUUGAGGGCAACAAAUAUUUACACCCUGAUUUCUCAAACUGUUCGUUACCUUCAAAAACUAAUAGAAGGAUUCAUUCCAUCAAGAUAUUUCUUCCUAUCACCACCAUUUUACUUUGUCUCUUGUGUCUCGGAUGUUGUUAUCUGUCUCGAUGCAAGGCUACCCAACCUGAGCCAGCAUCAUCAAAGAAUGGAGACUUGUUUUCCAUAUGGAAUUAUGAUGGGACGAUUGCAUACGAAGACAUCAUUGCAGCGACCGAGAACUUUGACCUCAGAUAUUGUAUCGGAACCGUUGGUUAUGGGAGCGUCUACCGAGCACAACUUCCAAGUGGGAAAUUAGUUGCCUUGAAGAAACUUCAUCGUCGAGAGGCAGAGGAGUCGGCUUUUGACAAGAGUUUCAAAAAUGAGGUGGAAGUGCUCACACAAAUACAUCACAGGAGCAUUGUAAAGCUUUAUGGAUUCUGUUUGCACCAGCGCUGCAUGUUUCUUGUUUACGAGUACAUGGAAAAGGGAAGCUUGUUUUGUGCCUUGAGAAAUGAUGUUGGAGCUGUGGAAUUGAAGUGGAUGAAAAGAGCACACAUCAUUAAAGACAUUGCUCACGCAUUAUCUUACUUGCAUCAUGAUUGCAACCCGCCAAUUAUUCAUCGAGACAUAUCUAGUAGCAAUGUUCUGUUGAAUUCAAAAUCCAAGUCUUUUGUUGCUGAUUUUGGGGUGGCUAGACUUCUCGAUCCUGAUUUGUCCAACCAUACAGUACUUGCUGGUACCUAUAGAUACAUUGCCCCAGGUCAAAUAUUUCUUCUUUAUAUACGUGUAUCACUAAUGUCAUGCACACCAACAUUAAAGCAAACUCUCUUUUAUAUAUUUUUUAAUUUCAUUUUGUUUAUGGACAGAGUUGGCUUAUACUAUGUUGGUGACAGAGAAAAGUGAUGUCUAUAGCUUUGGAGUAGUGGCGCUAGAAACGUUGAUGGGAAGGCAUCCAGGAGAUUUCCUAUCAUCAUCUGCUCAGGCUAUUACACUGAAAGAAGUGUUAGAUCCUCGUGUGUCACCUCCAACAGAUGAAAUUGUCAUACAGAAUAUAUGUAUUAUUGCAACUCUGGCAUUCUCUUGCUUACAUUCGAAUCCAAAAUCUCGACCUUCGAUGAAAUUCGUGUCUCAAGAAUUUCUAUCUUCCAAGAGAUCAUUGGCAGGUCUUGAGAUUUCUUUGCUGGAGCUGCGAACUCUUGGCAUGCACGCAAAUGGAGGUGAUAUCACAGUUCCUAGUUGAAAAUGUGAACUUUGAGCUCACAUUGAAGUUUAUAAUAUUUCUUAAUUUUGGAAGAACUCUUUCUUUUAGUACAUUAAAUGUCUUUAUAAUAUUUUAGGGUGACAUUGUAUGUAAUUUUAACGAAGCACACUUUUCUCGUGUACUGUAGAAUCAAUUAGAGCAUCACUGUCUGGGUUAAAUUGAAAUCAUCACUCAUCUUAUAACUAGGCAAAUCCCCACUUGAAAUAUGCAGAAGAUAUUUGUUAACUCCAUUUGUUCCUGCAAGCUCUAGUGUAUUGGAUGCCUGAAAGCAGUGUUUGGAUUGAUUUUUUUCCGACUGAUGUGCUUUGGUAUUUAUCAUUUGGCACGGAUGGGAUUUUCCAUCAUCUUCCGAAGGAAUACCACUUCAAGAUUUAUGUCUCAUGUUUGGAACCGCAAGAAGUUAAAAGAGAGAGUUUUUAUUGUCUCAGAGACAUUUACUAGCAGAAAAAAUGAUUUCUUCGUAUCAGCUUCUGAAGUUGAAAUUCUUUACCAUUGAUACCGCAAUAUUUAUCAUCCUUAUUCCCCUUCAUGAUAUCUUUAAAUGAGAGAAAGCUUGGGGUGUGUGCAACUGUCCUGAUGCUCUUAGACAAGCCAGGAAAAGAAAGGUAAUCCUCAGGACCAACAUCUGUCAUCUCUUUCUGAGGGCAAAGCCCAAUCCCAAAACUUGUUUGCAGGAGCACUAAACAUCAGGCUCUUAUUAUCAUAUGCUUCACCACUGCACCACCCCUCCGAGCCGUGAAACAACCUCAUUUUCAAAACCUUUCCUCGGUAAAUUAACAUGCUCACAAGUAACCUGAUAAAGAUCACAGUAGGAUUAAAAGGGACGAAUCACCGAAACAUAAAAAACCAUCACUGAAAUUAAGAACAAUGAGAUUACUACUAGUAAGUCUAAGUUAUUGCUGGAAUGGAGAAUGAUGCGAUAGUAAUCCAACAUUACAAGGUGUUCAUGGACAUGAUAACUAGAAUUCAGUUAAAUUUAUGUUUUAAUAGAUAAAAACGUGCAUCAUAAUUUUUAUUUUAAAAAUAAUGAUAUAAUUAUCAAAAGCAAAGCAAUGGUAAAUGGCUAGUUAAGAAAAAGCUUGACGGAGCUGAACAAGAUUGAAAAGAAAACAAUUGUUUUUUUUUUUUUAAAAGGUUUGAGAUACUCCAGAGCUAAUUUAUCACACGAAGAAAAUAUAAUUCUCAAUAAUAAUCAAAUAAAUUACAAGAAAAAUAAAUGUUUUCUAGGCCUAAUACAACUUAAUUGUUUAUAUACUGCUAGUUAUAAAAAUAGAUUACAACUUGUUUAAAUAAGUAUUCAACUUAUUUUUACUGAAAAUAAGAAUUCUAAAAUAACCAGAAAAAAUAAAGAAAAAAAAAUCCAAAUACAUGUAGAAAAAACAAGAAAAAUUAAGAAAAUAAUGUUGUCUAGGUCUAAUAUGAAAGCCUUCUUGACUUUAACUUCUUAUAGUAGCAACCCAUUAAUUAUAAAACAAGGCAUUUAGAAUAUCCCGGUAAAAUUCAAAUAAUAUCUAACGACAGAAAAAAGAGAGAGCUUAUUUUCGUUAAAAAAAUUAUUAAAUUAGAAUGGAAGGAUAAUAUAUUUAUUUAGGAUUUUAUUAAUUAUCUCAUGGCUAUGUAUUCAAUAAUUUUCUUUAAUGAUUACAGCCCCGCAUAAGUUUCUUGUUCGCGGGCCCUCAAUUGAACCAAAACCAAAACAAACUAUUCUAACAUGUAUACAAAACAAGCCCAAGCAGCUAAUGGCUUAAGCCUUCUUAUACCAGCGUGGGAUUUCAAAUAGAAUAGUAUUGGAUAUUAAUUAUUUUAAAAAUAAUUUUUAUUUAAAAAUAUAUUAAAAUAAUAUAUUUUUAUUUUUUAAAAUUUAUUUUUGACAUCAGCAAAUUAUAAAGAUCUAAAAUCAUAAAAAAAUUAAUUCUAAGUAAAAAAAUAAAAAAAUAAUUUUUUUUAAAAUGCUUUUAAAACGCAAAAAUAAACAAGAAACUAGCUCUAAAAUUACCAGAAUACAAAAACAUUGUAAUAUUAUUAAUUUUAAUUUUAAUUUAUUUUUUUUCAUAUCUUUAUUCUUUCGUAAUUUGUUUUCUUGAAAAAUUAUUAUACAAAGAAUAAGAAAAUGAUGUUUCAAUGUAACAAUUGCAACAUUGUUUUAUUUUUAUACUACAUUAAAAAUGUGCUUAAGAUCUUACAUUUUUUUAUUAACUCAUGUGAUCUUCAUUAUAUUUUAUUAUAUGUAAGCUUCGAAUUUUUAUUUCACAUUUAAUUUUUUACUCGCCAUAAAAAAACACGUUAAUAACAUCUACACAUUAAUUCAUUUACGUUAGAAAAAAACAAUAAUCAACUUGCAGCUAGGCAAAUCAAAUCGACACGUCAACAUUUUGUUUUUUGCAUUUAUCAGCAGAGAUAAUUCUUAAUUUAUUUAAUUAAAUGCAUGUAUAUGCCUUUAGAUUUACAACUAGAUUUCUUUUUGUACAAAAACACAUUUAAAAAGUUUGCAUAUGUUUUUUCUUCCAAAAAAAUUAUCUAACCAGUAGAGAAGCACAUGUCAAAUGACUAGCAAUAUAAACUAAAAGAUGUGAUGAUUUUACUGUUCAUCACCUCAUAAAACACUAUUUAUUUUAAUAUUUUUUUUCCCUCGUUUUUUCCCUUUCUAAAUCUAUGUUUCUCCCUAAUUUCAUACUUCAAUAUUCAAUUCAUUGAAGAUUGAGCUUCAUAAUUUAUUGUGGUAUGCUUUAUAUGUGAUCAACCUAGUCUCAGAAUCUAUGUUAUAGGUUUGGUGGGUUAACUCGAUUAAGUUGAGUUUUUUUUUUUAAUUUACAUUUUUUUUUCAAUCUCAUAUUUCAACAUUGGGUUGAUUGACAAUUAUACUUCAUAAUUUAUUUUAGUUUGUUUUUUAUGAGGUUAUCUCGAUUUCAUAACUUGAGUCGUGAGUUUGAUGGGUUAAUCCAAUUGACUCGAGCUUCUUUUUUUUUAUAUACAUCUUUUUUAAUUGGUAUUUUUUCAAUUUCAUCAUUCAACAUUAAGUUGAUUAUGAGUUAGAUUUCAUGAUUUAUUUUAUUUGUUUUCUAUGAGAUUAUUCUGAUCUUAUGAUUUGGAUCACAUGUUUUGUAGGUUAACUCGUGUAGAUUGAGGUUAUUUUAUUGUAUCUUGUUUUUAGGUUGAUGUUUUGCCUUUAAUUUUAACCUUCAACAAUAUGUUUUUUGAAAAUUAAACUUCAUAAUUUUUUUUAUUUACUUUCUAUGACUUAUGUUAUUUUUUUAUUUAUUUUCUAUAAGGUUAUCCUAAUUUCUUGAUCCGAAUCAUGGAAUUGACAAUUUAACUCAGAUCAAUUUUUUUGUCAUUUUGUAUUUUUUUUUUCAAUUUUGUCAUUCAAUAUUUCAUUAAUUUAGAAUCAAGCUUCAAUUUUUUUUUUUUGUCUUGUUUUCUAUAAAGUUAUUCUAGCCUCAUUAUCAGGGUUACAAUUUGGCUAGUUAACCUAGGUUGAGUCAUGUCUUUUUUUUUUUUUUAAUUUCAUCCCUAAAUAUUGAGAUUUCUUAUCUCGAGUCGUAUAGGUCAACUUAGGUUUGUUUGUCAUUUUUUUUAUUUAAUUAUUUUUUUUUCAAUUUUAUCCUUUAACAUUUGGUUGAUUUGGGAUUAAGCUUUAUAUUUGUUUUUGCUUUCUACGAGGUUAUUCGGUUUUAUUAUUAUAUAGGUCAUGAGUUUGGUUGGUUAACUUGAGUUGAUUUAGUUUUUUGUUUAAUUAAUUUUUUUCAAUAUCAUCAUUCAACAUUGAAUUGAUUGAGAAUUAAACUUUAUAACUUAUUUUGAUUUGUUUUAUAUUGAGUUAUUUCAAUCAUAUAACCCAAGUUGUAGCUUUGACAGGUUAACCCGAGUUGUUUGUUUUUUGAUCUUUUUUUUUUUAAUUUCAUCUUUUAACAUUUGUUUAAUUGAGAAUUGAGUUUUAUAUUUGAUUUUGCUUUAAUUUCUAUGUGGUUAUUCCGGUCUUAUGAUUCAGGUCGUGAAUUUGACAGGUUAAUCGAGUCAAUUCAAUAUGUUUUCAUCUCGAUAUUUUUUAAAAAACAUGUCGUUUUAAAUUUUUUUAGUCAAACUAUAUUUUUAAUGGUAUUUUAAAUUGUUUUUAGACCUGUCAAAUUAACUAGGUCACUUCAACUUAACCUCUACAUGUUUUAAUUUUUUUCAACUAAAAAACAUGAUAAUAACAAUUACAUAGUUUUCAACUUUAAAAAAAAAAAUUAAUCUUAGCUGCAACAUAUUACUAGCAAUAUCUAGUCUACUUUAUUUAUGAAAGUAAGGGCCUCAAAGACGUGGGCAAUACGGAUCGACUAAGAAUGAAAUCCACAAAUUAAUGGCGAGAGGAUCAGAAUACAUGUAUUUGGAUUAUUUUCUGCUCGAUCUCUUUCCACGAAAAUCAGGGAGAGUAGAUUAACUGAUUGCCCUUCUUAAUUUCCAAAUGAUGCUUUUGGUGAUUGGGGAACCUUUGUCUCCUUUGUGGAAAAAGAAAAAAACUAGCUAGACAAUCUGAAGCUAUUGUCUUAGGCAUUGGAAUUGAUAGAAUGAAAAGUCUUGCAAUGAACGCAUAUGCCCACGCAUCAUCUUCGGUCUCAAAAAGACAGUAAGAAUAGUACACGUGAAAGACCAGAGGAACUUGACUUGGAAUGAGUUCAUGAAAAAACCAUGCACUUCAAUCAUAAAUUUAGCAUUCUCAUUGAAGGGAAGCAUUACACGCAAACAUGGCAUCCAUUGAUUAUGAGCCAAAACUUCUCGCGAUUUUAAGCAUCUCAUUUUUCUUGUCCUGUAUUUUUGUAUCUAGUACUGGUCUUGUUGCUGCACUUGAUGAUUCAGCCUUGCUAGCAUCAGAAGGCAAGGCUUUGCUUGAGAGUGGAUGGUGGAGUCAAUACAGCAACGUCACCUCACAUCGUUGCAAGUACUGGCCUGGCAUAUUUUGUGAUCGGGCUGGAAGAAUCACUAAGAUUUCCCCACCUCCAGAUUUCCUCAAGGUGGGAAAUAAGUUUGGAAAGAUGAACUUUUCUUGCUUCUCAAACCUUGUCCGUCUCCACCUGGCCAACCAUGAGCUCAAUGGAAGCAUCCCGCCUCAAAUUUCUAUCCUUCCACAACUUACAUACCUCAACCUGUCCUCAAAUAAUCUAGCAGGUGAGUUACCGUCUUCACUUGGAAAUCUAAGCCGAUUAGUUGAGCUUGAUUUUUCUUCCAAUUAUCUCAACUAUUCCAUCCCUCCAGAACUAGGCAAUCUUAAAAAUCUUGUUACUUUGAACUUGUCUUAUAACAGCUUCAGCGGCCCAAUCCCUUCGGCACUUUGUCAUUUGGACAAUCUAACGCAUUUAUUUAUGGAUCAUAAUAGUCUCGAAAGUGCCCUCCCUAGAGAAAUAGGGAACAUGAGAAAUCUAGAGAGUUUGGACGUGAGUUAUAAUACACUUACUGGUCCAAUCCCUCGAACAUUGGGUAGGUUAGCCAAGUUGAGGUCUUUGAUCCUUUCUCGCAACGCAAUCAAUGGAUCCAUCCCUUUAGAAAUAGGAAAUUUGACGAAUCUAAAAGAUUUACAGCUUAGAUCUAAUAUCCUAGUUGGUUCAAUUCCUUCAACGAUAGGUUUUUUAUCUGAUUUGACUAAUCUAGAUCUUUCUUAUAACGGAAUCAAUGGAUCCAUCCCUUUGCAAAUAGGAAAUUUGACGAAUCUAGAACAUUUAGAUCUUUCCUCUAAUAUCCUAGCUGGUUCAAUUCCUUCUACAUUUGGUCUUUUAUCCAAUUUAAUUCUUUUGCAUCUUUUUGACAAUCAAAUCAAUGGAUCCAUCUCUUCAGAAAUAGGAAAUUUGACAAAACUAUAUCGUUUGUUUCUCAAAGGCAACAAAAUUAGUGGUUCGAUUCCUAUUUCAUUAGGAGAUUUAAAAAACUUGGCAUUUCUAGACGUAUCUAACAACCAAAUCAUGGGAUCCAUUCCUUUGGAAAUACGAAACUUGAUAAAUUUGGAAGAAUUAUAUCUGAGUUCAAACAUUAUCAAAGGUUCAUUUCCAAUUAUACUCGGCAGUUUAACCAAUUUAAAGAAACUAGACCUUUCUCGUAACCAAAUCAAUGGAUCCAUAGCUUCAUCUUUGAAGAAUUGUAAAUAUUUGACCUAUCUAGAUUUGAGCUACAGUAAUUUAAGUGGACAAAUACCCUCCCAACUAUAUAAUUUGCCCUCUUUAUCUUAUGUGAAUUUUCGUUAUAAUUACCUCUCAGGCUUUGUUCCCUUGCAAUUGCCACAACCCUUUGAUGUGUCUUUCACCUGUGAUUCUCUCCAUAGCCAAAGAACCAAUAGUCCUGAAAUUUUUCAAGAUACUGCAUUUGAAGGCAACAAAGACUUACACCCUGAUUUGUCACGUUGUUCAUCUAUUUACUCCCCACCUUCAAAAACCUACUUGUUACCUUCAAAAGACAACAGAAUAAUUCAUUCCAUCAAGAUAUUUCUUCCUAUCACCACCAUUUCACUUUGUCUCUUGUGUCUCGGAUAUUGUUAUCUGUCUCGAAGCAAGGCUACCCAACCUGAGCCAGCAUCAUCAAAGAAUGGAGACUUGUUUUCCAUAUGGAAUUAUGAUGGGAGGAUUGCAUACGAAGACAUCAUUGCAGCGACCGAGAACUUCGACCUCAGAUACUGUAUCGGAACCGGUGGUUAUGGGAGCGUCUACCGAGCACAACUUCCAAGUGGGAAAUUAGUUGCCUUGAAGAAACUUCAUCAUCGAGAGGCAGAGGAGCCGGCUUUUGACAAGAGUUUCAAAAAUGAGGUGGAACUGCUCACACAAAUACGUCACAGGAGCAUUGUAAAGCUUUAUGGAUUCUGUUUGCACCAGCGCUGCAUGUUUCUUGUUUACGAGUACAUGGAAAAGGGAAGCUUGUUUUGUGCCUUGAGAAAUGAUAUCGGAGCUGUGGAGUUGAAGUGGAUGAAAAGAGCACGCAUCAUCGAAGACAUUGCUCACGCAUUAUCUUACUUGCAUCAUGAUUGCAACCCGCCAAUUGUUCAUCGAGACAUAUCAAGCAGCAAUGUCCUGUUGAAUUCAGAAUCCAAGUCUUUUGUUGCUGAUUUUGGUGUGGCUAGACUUCUCGAUCCUGAUUCGUCCAACCAUACUGUACUUGCUGGUACCUAUGGAUACAUUGCCCCGGGUAAAAAUAUUUAUUCUUAACAUACAUAUUUACCACUCAUGCACUGCAAAACUAAAGCAAACUCUCUUUAUAUAUAUAUAUAUAUAUUAAUUUCGUUUUGUAUGUGGACAGAGUUGGCUUAUACUAUGGUGGUGACAGAGAAAUGUGAUGUUUACAGCUUCGGAGUUAUGGCGCUUGAAACUUUGAUGGGAAGGCAUCCGGGAGAUAUCCUAUCAUCAUCUGCUCGGGCUAUUACACUGAAAGAAAUGUUAGAUCCUCGUUUGCCACCUCCAACAGAUGAAUUGUCAUCCAGAAUAUAUGUACCAUUGCAACUCUGGCAUUCUCUUGCUUACAUUCGAAUCCAAAAUCUCGACCUUCAAUGAAAUUCGUGUCUCAAGAAUUUCUAUCUCCCAAGAGAUUACUGGGAGGUCUCGAGAUUUCUUUGUUGGAGCUGCGAAAUCUUGGCUUGCACAUAAAUGUAGGUGAGAUCACAGUUCCUCGCUGAAAAAGUCAACUUCGAGCUCGCAUGGAACUUCAACGAGAGCCUCCAAGAGCAUGUGUUUAUAGAAUUUCUAAAUUUUGGAUGAACUUUUUUUUUUUAGCACACUACAUGUCUUUGUAAUAUUUUAGUGUGACAUUGUAUGUAAUUUUAAUAAUGCAGACUUUUCUUGUGCAUGAUAGCUAGUAUCAAUAUAUAUGAGCAUCGUAUUAAGUCUACCUCUCUAUCUAGGUUAAAUUGAAAUCAUCACUCAUCUUAUAAUUAGGCAAAUCCCCACUUGAAAUAUACAGAAGAUAUUUGUUAACUCCAUUAAUUUGCCCCUGCAAGCUCUUGUAUAAUAGAUGCCUGAAAGCAGUGUUUGGAUCUACUUUCUACAAUCUAUUCUGACUCUGUCACUAUCUGAACAACAUGUUUUGCUCUUUUUUUUUAUCUGAAUGAUGCACCUUAUUUAAUUAUCAUUGGGCAUAGACGGAAUUUCCAAUCAUCUUCCACUUCAAGAUUUAUGUCUCAUGUUUAGAACCAAGCUUUGACUUCAAAGAAUGGUGAAUUGAGAUGUCCUCCCUCCACCAUAUCUAUCUAGUCGUAAUACACAACAUUGUACGUAGCUUUACAGGAUACCUAGCUAUAGAUUAUUUGGAGCAUCAUAUUUUUCCUUGGACGGUCGUUCAUAGAUCGUAUAUGCUAAAUGUUUUACAUAGUCUAAUUAUAACAAAUGAUUAUAUGAUAGUUCAUAUUCUCCUGCAUGAAAGCUCUAUAUACAUACCCAUUAUCUUGGUGACAAUUGACAAGUCGCCGAUCCAAUUCUGCAAUUAUAUUAGAAUGCAAGGAUAAUAUAUUUAUUUAUGAUUUUAUUAAUGGCUGUGUAUAUUCAAUAAUUCCCUUUAAUGAUUACAGCCCCGCAUCAGUUUCUUGUUCGAGGCUUUUCGGGCCUUCAAUUAAACCUAAACAAAAACAAACUAUUCUAACAUGUACACGAAACAAAGCCCAAGCAGCUAUUGGCUUAAGCCUUUUUAUACGAGCAAGACUAAUCAGCACGAGAUUUCAAAUUCCUGCAAGAAUUACCAGAACCCACAAACGUGGCAACUCAAGGGCCUCAUCAUCCAAAACCAAAAGGCAAGUCCUCCCCUAAAAGACAAGAUUGUAGGGUUGUACAGGUCUCCUUCUGCAAUUACUUGUCAAGUCCUCCAACUAUUGCCUAAUUCUUAAUCAAGUCCUCAAUCCAAACUGGAUAUCCAUCACACAUUAUCCAAUUCACCCGUCACCAUAAAAAAAAUUAAAAAUUGAAAUAACUACUUUGUUUAAGAUGGAUGGUUCUAUGGUUCUGAUUUACAAAUCUUGAGAUCAAACUUAGAAUGACAUGAAAGUCUUUGGUUUAGAAUAAAUAAAUCAUCUCUUUUUAGAUUAAAAGUUACUUCUAACACGAUAAUAAUAAAUAGUUAAGUCUAGUUUUAUGAUUUUAAAGAAAAACAUUUAAAAUCAAAAGUCAGUUUAAAAAAGAUUACGAGUAAUUCAUUCUAAAUAUUUACAGUAAACGGAGCCAGAAUUUCAAGAGCCUUUCAUUAUUAAAAUUUACACCCUCACUUAAAAUCCAAACAAAUUUAGAAACGCGAUAAAGUCGUUCAGAUUAGGCUGAAAAAAGAAAAAAGAAACCAACGAUUUUUCAAUCUUCCCUCUUAUUGCUUAAUCAAGCAGAGAUGGUGGUUGCUUAGAUUUUCUCCUUCAAUUAUAGUUUAUCGUUCAGUUUCAACCAUAAACAGGCAAGACUCCCACGAAUCCAGGCUGUUUUCGGACACCAAUUAAGUGGGACCCAAGGUUCAGCUUCUAAACUCCGACAGCACAGAACUGCCCAUAGUUAAAACCCUGUAAGGGAAAAUAGUUUUCACUCUCCUUCUGUCGUCAACUGAAAGUUAAAAAAAUAACUGUAAUAAAAAACCAUGACGACUAUCUUGUUUUGGUCAACCUUUUCUACCUUUGCUGAUCAUUUUCACUCUCCUUUCUUGAUUGCUUCUUCUUGUUGGUUUCUCUUCUAUUUUACCACUAUUUAAUUACAAAAUAUUUAUUAUAAUAUUAAAAAAAAAACAAAAAACAAAAUACAGCACCCUUUUUCUCCCUUCCCCUACUUCUCCUUCCUCUCGGUUUCCUACUCGUAUUAGUUCCCAUUUCGAAUAAGGGAAAUAAGCCCUAAUAAUCGAGGUUGAAUCGGCCUCAUGGAUGGUUCAAUUCUCCUGGACCUACUUGUUGAAUUGCCAAACAAGAAGUAGGGAAGAGGGUUUUUGGAAUCUCUGUAAAUUGAAGACCUUUUGAUAGCUCAAGGAGGAUAUAG
rnacentral:lncRNA from 1 species